UUUUUUUUUUUUUCUACUUUGGAAUAUCACAAGGAGCCUUGAGAUAAUAUAUUGUUUACUGGUGAAACGGAUAUUACACAAUGUGCAAGAACUGGAGUAGGCAGUCUGAGCAGCUCAUGUUGGUUGCAUUUACCAUGCAGAUGUCAAUAUUAUCACGAAUGUACCCCUGCAAGGAAUGUGCAGAUCACUUUCAAGAAAUUCUGAGGUUCACAAUUUCAUCUUUUACUCAUCAUCUUCGUUCUUCUCUAGUGUCCCGUAGUUCUCAACGUCAUAGGGUAAUUUCGUAUCAAAUAUCUAAAUGUGAGAUUCAAAUGCUGCACUCGUACAAUCUCCAGAUGCUCGUUUAGUAUACUUUUGAACUUAUAGAUGUAUAUUUGGUGCAUGUUUGGCAGAUCAAAUCCUGUACAGGCUGGAUCACAUGCCGAGUUCUCCCAAUGGCUAUGUCAUGUGCAUAAUACGGUUAACAGAAGGUACGUUCUGCAGAAAUCUUCCACUGUUCUGGUUCUGUAAUCUGAGAAGCCUGAUAAUGUUGUAAAUUAUAUUCGUUGAGAUCUAAUAUGUGGAGAUAUUGAUACAGCGUUAACAAACCGAUUUUCCCCUGUGAACGAGUUGAUGCACGGUGGGGCAAGUUAGAGUGCGAACGGCGUGCUUGCGAUCUGUUAGGAAUUACCGGAAGUUUUGGUGACAACACAUAUUAUUAAGUACUUUCUGGAGUAGAUUUGAAUGAUUAGGGUUGAUGCUAUUCUUGCAGAAAUCAUUGAUUGUAAUCAACUUUCGUAUAAAGAAUUUCAUGAUUUGCAGAUAAUUUUUAUAUUGAUAUUCAUAAGCAAAAUCCUUCCUGCUAUUAUCAUGCCGUGAUGCGGAAAGAGUCAGACAAAGCGAUAUUCAUCGAGCUUGAUAACUUUACACGUCCAGAUAAAUUACAAGGUUUGUGUAAUGAAGAUCAUCUGAUACCAUCUGCUCUUUCAAAUAAGAAAACAUAAGCAAACAAAACGAAGGUUGACUCUGAGAAGAGUACUGUGACAUGCCCCGCCAGAUAUAAACACAGUUAGAUUAUGUCCCAUGUCUGCUAUUAAACCGUACGGAAUGGUGGCGCCUCGCCGAAUUUCAGAAUGUAGGCAGUUUCAUAUACAGGCCGCAGUUGUGGGAUCAGUUGCGCAUCUAAAUAUGCAUCACAGGAGAAACACCAGACAGAUAGGUCACUGCACGAAAUGUAAACCAAGACAGAAGAGGAGUUUGUAAGAAAUUAGACUAUAUAGAAGUAAAGAAAAAGACUUGAGGAUGCCUAAGAAGAAAGGAUUGGUAAUUGUACCUAUAGCUGAGAGCAAGACAAUGGUUAGACUGCUGGUAAUGCUGGAGCAUGUGCUUGUUCACAAAGCGGCUGCAGAGGACGUCCUUACAGCACAAACAUAACCAGUUCUCAUUGGGAUGCUGGCAUCUAGUAUAAACGAAAAUUGUUCCGCAGAUGUAAGAUGCUAGGCAUGAUUCAGGAAUCAGGCACUCGGACAAUGUAAAGCAUAAAGAAUCAACCGAAGCAUUCUACAGAUCUUUGUAAUUCAACAACUCGAAGAUUCUAUUGAAUUAGAAAACUUAAAAUGUUCUUUCGUUUGAAGUUCUCUUUCAAUCAAUGGCACUUACAAUAAACAGAAGCAUAAAGAAUGAUUGCUUUCGAACUAGGCCAAGAUUGCUUUCGAUUCCUAUCACAACUAAGCAACCACGGUACAAAAAAACAAAUUGGUGAUAUGAUCUUGUAUGAUGUACACAAACUACAGUUGAUUUAAACUAGCAGAUCGUUGUGCUGUAGAUGAGGCACCUCGAUCAGCACACUUCCAACAAUUAGCUAGGAAUAACAAUGCAGUUCCCUCCGCCAACCGAAACAAUUAGCUAAGAAUAACGAUGCAACUCCCUCCGCCAACCGAAACAAUUAGCUAAGAAUAACGAUGCAACUCCCUCCGCUAACCGAUAAAAAAAGAAUGUAAGAUUCCUUGUGGGUAAGAAUUAUAUAACUUUUAUCUUAUUUUUGCAAAUCUUAUGACAAUCAAUAGUAGCAUUCAUCCAUAUGUUUCAGAAACACCAUACAAAUUGAGAAAGCAGACCCUCAACCUUAAGGAGAUGGAUUAUGUAUAUGCUAAGUAAAAAUAUUCAGUGAUCAAAAGCUGAAUCAAGAACUGGGUAAGAUUGGCACGAAUCCAACAACACACAAUUAAAAAAGAUUUGAAUGAAUUGACCAAAAAAAGAAGAAGAAGAAUUGAAUAGGAACCUGUUGCAGGCAGUAUCAGGAGUGGGAAUGUGAGCGAGAUCAGACGACAGGGAAGCAAGGUGAUCGCAAGAUGUUCGGGCCUCGACCCAACCCGAUUCAGCUCCAUAAAAUAAAUCUUCCUCGUUUUCUAGAAAUUGGUCCUCCUGAUUCACAUAAUUGACAAUAACCCUUUGUUUUAAAUUUCAAAAUAAUCAAGAUUUCGGGUUCAGCCAAAGCGUAAAGUGAUCGAUUUUACCUGCGCAGAAGAAGAACCAGCUUGGGCUGCCAUGGAUGAACACCGAGAGAGUCUCACUCUGGACAAAGUUGAGGACUUCUGCAAAAAUUUUACUCCCAGGCCGCGGUUUAUGCAUUACCUUGGGUUAAUUACAAGGGAGCUGCUGGACUCACACUAUAUUAUAAUCCCACCCCAUAUCUGGGGUUAAUUACAAAAUUUUCAUCCUAUUUUUUCACCCAUAUUAUAAUCUCCCUCACUAUAAAGGUUAAAAAAUUGAAAUGAUAUUUUCCCGCUCACAAUUAUUCCUCAAAUAAUCUCUAAUAUAAAUCUAAAGUUAUAAACUCGUCUCUUAGAAAAAAGAGUAUAACAAAUAAUAUAUAAAAUUAAAAUAAAGGACAUGAUCAUGAGAAUUUCAUCUGUUUCAUCAAACACAAAAAAAUUUACAUAAUUGUUUCAUAAUAACUGUAAACACGGAAAAUUCCUGAAACGAAAGAGACAAGAACAACGUGCACAAACAAAUAUUUGUAUUUUUUGAUGAUUUUGGGUUACAAUCUCUCUCUAAUUUGAUCAUCUGAUUCGAUCUCCGUAAGGUGUGUAUUUGUGGAUGUGCGAUUGAUCCAAGGGCCGUCGAGGUUUGAUCUUGGAUGAACGUUCUUUAAGGGUCGUGGGCUUGAUCUUUGAGAGUGGAUUUGAGCGGAUCUUCAAGGGCUUUUGGGCUUGAUCUUGAAGAGACGGUGAUGAACAGAUCUUCAAGGGCUUUUGGGCUUGAUCUUGAAGAACGGUUGGAUGUGUAUGGAUUUGUCGACGUUGUUGAUCCAAAGGGCCGUUGGGGCUUGAUCUUGGAUGAACGGAUGAUGAACGAUGGUGCUUUCUUCAAGGGUCGUCGGGCUUGAUCUUGAAAGAGCGAUGAACGAAGAACGAAGAACACUUUCUUCAAGGGCCGUCGGGGCUUGAUCUUGAAUUGGUGGAUGAUUGUUGAUCCAAAGGGCCGUUGGGGCUUGAUCUUGGAUGAACGGAUGAACGAUGAACGAAGAACGAAGAACGAAGAACACUUUCUUCAAGGGCCGUCGGGGCUUGAUCUUGAAUUGGUGGAUGAUUGUUGAUCCAAAGGGCCGUUGGGGCUUGAUCUUGGGAUGAACGAUGAACGAAGAACGAAUAGAGCUUUCUUGAUUCUUCGGGAACCUGGAUGCUUGAGAGCUUCGGAGUUUCAGAGCUUCAGAGCUUCAAGAAUUUUGCAUAAUGAUUUUGGUCCCUUCAAAUGAAUGAAAUGGGCUUGUAUUUAUAGAAUUUUCCAAUGCCUAAUUUUGAAUAUAAUAUCCCAGAUGAAAUAAGUCGUUUCUGCCAGGUGUUGACAUGUGUCUUAUUUGAUGACUUUUCCAACUCAUUUCAAUUUUCGUUGAGUCACACGUUACGUGUAAAAUUUAUGUAAUACAUGAGCGUUGACACUUUGAUUUAUCGGUCAACAUUUAUUUACCGAAAUUUCGAUGUCUACAAUAACAUAAGAAAAAUACAUGAUUGUUUCGUAUUAAGAAAAAAGUUUUACAUCACGUACUUUUUUUCCAGAGACCUAAUACAAAUUAAAGAAAACGUCUUGAAGCUUAAAUUGCAAACAAGUCUUACAAUAGAUCAAUCAACACAUAGAUAAUUAUAAAUUGUGGACAAGCACCCCACCGACUUUAAUUUUCAUCAAGCUUCACGGUCUCUCUAGUUAUGACAGUAAAUCCUAGAAUGGAUAUGAACUGUAGUAUACGAGCAAUGUACAGGGUAGUCCCUUCUAAAGACCAUGGUUUACUAUAUCCUACCUUAUUUGUGAUAAAUUCACUAGUAGAGUCCACUAUAUAUGUAGAUGCUAAAUUAGUACCAGAUUCAUUUACCUGCAAGGAAAAAAUGUAAUAAUAGGAUUACAUAAAAAUAAAAAAGAAUGAAAAAAGGAAUAAGAACGACAACUUUGUUGAUGAGUCCUGGUUGAAAUGAGACUAAUUUCCUAAUUAUCUUUGUUUUUUUCAUACGGAGAAGUCUUCAUUCAAUUAAAUUAUCUAAUCAAUUUUGUAAUCAAAUUUCAAUUGAUUACCAACUUCAAUGGAAAGGUAAAUAAAAUCUGUGCGAAUAAGAUUGUACUAAUUUUUGUUUAUUUUUCAAGAUAAAUAUCAUGAACAUGCAUAAGUAGACAUGAAAAAGUUGAAAUAUAUAUAUAUAUAUAUAUAUAUAUAUAUAUGAUUUUAAAAUGUUUUUCUUACAUCUUCAAUGAAAACGACAUAUUCUACCUUUUCAAUAGAAACAUUGUUUCCUACGGAAUUGGAUCCUCUCCGAGGCAAUGCCUCGAGAUCCUCCUGACCAGACAAUACGGACCAUUGGAUCAAAAUCCAACGGCUACAAACAAGGUGGUCCGUCUAAAAUUAUAAUUAUUGUAGCUGUUGGAUUUCCUACCUCUUUCAUUGUUAAGCUGUCUUCUACCAAUUCAAUGAAAACAUCAUUUUCCAUCUCUUCAAUGGAAACAUCAUCUUAUAUCUCUUCCAUGGAAACAUCAUCUUAUAUCUCUUCCAUGGAAAUGUCAUCUUCUACCUCUUAAUGAAACCGUCAUGUUCUAAGUUCAUUUUCUUUUUACUUUCUUUAUGUGAAAGGAGAUAGAAAGAUGAGUUAGGGUUUAAGAGAAGAUAAAUCGUUUAUGAAUAAAGGGCUGGAGUUAGAAUCUCGCCCAACCUUUUAAUUUUUUUAAAAAGAUAAAGCAAAAAGAUGGCGGGAGUUAGAAUUGCUCCUAUCCUAUUUUUAUUAUAUAUCUCGAAAGGUCUUUAUCAGUCAUUUUACAAAUGGGUGAACUUGUAAUUAAAAAUUGUUACGCCCCAAUCCCGACAUACAUCCAAGAUCGACACGUGACGUCACCAAGUAUCUGUAAAUCCAACAAACCCCGCCUCCGAGAUAUGUACAAAGCAUAAUUCAAGAUUCAAAUUGCGUAGUAAUUUUCAUAUACUUUAUGGCUGCAUCUAACCUCCUCGUUAGACUCCCCACGUACCCUAAAAAGGGAUCAAGUCAUUCGUAGUUCACCAUUCACUACACUCUGAUGUUUAUCAUAAUACGUUCAAGUAGAAAAGCAUAGCAUUCCUCAAUCAUUUAUUAGAACUCGACAACCACGAAAUUACUAGAUCUAAAGCUGCAUAACAAACCCACAUAUGAAAUUCCAGAUUCUCAUUCCAUCCAUCAUAUAAAUCACUAUGUUUUCAACAUGAUACCUCAAUCCACAAUGUGUAACAUAUCAAAUAACCAACGAAGCAUAGUAUUAUUCUCAAACCACAUUGAUUUACUAAUCUAUUCAUAAUAAUAACAAUCAUAUCCAACGUCACUCCACAAUCACGUCAAUUAAUCAAUUCCAUGAAUCAAAGAUGCAUGAUAUUAACGUCUGACUACAUUAAUCAAUUAAUGAAAUAACAUAUCAUUUCAUGAAUUUAAUUAAAGAACUCUACAUAAUUCCCUACUUGGAUUAUAAGUAAUAACAUGGUAAAUUUCAUUUAUAUUCACAAGAUCUAGUGUGGUUAAUCCCCAUUCACUCGAAUCUAGGGUCGGACUAACUUUAUGGAAAUGAGCAAGAGUAGGGAUUUCGGACCACUCAACGAAUCCAACCAAAAUAUAAUUGCCUAUUGAAAUGUACCAAGUACAACUAAUCCUCAUCACCCUUAGAAUGUGUACGGUCCCCCAUUGCGAAUAUACCAAGCAGAACCGUAGGCAUAAUCUCACCGUAUAGGCAGUGAUCACCCAUCAUGGAUAUACCAAGCAUGAUCACCCCUGAAUACGUAUGGUCCCCCAUCGCAAAUACACCAACCAAGACCACAUCCUAAUUCUAGGUAGUGAUCACCCAUCACAGAUAUACCAAGCAUGAUCACUCAUAGGAUACGUAUAGUCCCUCAUCGCAGAUAUACCAAGCAUGAUCACCCCUAACAGUCCCCUAUUGUGGAUAUACCAAGCAAGACUGUAUCCUAUAGCUCUAGGUAGUGAACACCAUUCGCAGAUAUACCAAGCAUGAUCGCUCAUAGAAUGCAUAUGGUCCCCCAUCAAGGAAAUACCAAACAGAACCAUAAGCAUAGUCUAAUCGUGCAUGCGGUGAUCAUCCAUCGCGAAUAUACCAAGCAUGAUCACCCCUGAAAUACGUAUGGUCCCCUAUCAUGGAUAUACCAAGCAGGAUCAUCCAUGUACCUCUGCUACAUGGUGCAAUUAGAUUAACACACAAUGCACUUACCUUUAUCUUAACAUCUAUGAUUUACAUCGUAAUCACUUACACUCUCAAUUCCUGCUAAUCACUAACUACCAUGUCACACAAGCCUAUAUGUUCUACAGAACAUUUCUAAUAGGAUUUUAGGCUCACAAUGUCAUAACAGUUAACAUACAUAUCAUUCAUAUUAUCAAGAAGAUAAAUAAACACAUAUAUAACACAAUAUGACGUCCCAUACACGUAAACCGAUGUAUAUACUAUCUGGGAUAACUCACUAACCAAUAUAGGCCCACUAAGUCCUACAUAGUCUCUAGUAAUAUUUAAGAUCAAUUCAUAGCAUAUUGACCAAAAGUCGAGUCUCUGUAAACAGUGGGAUACACAACCCUAUACAAGUCAAUCUGGAACAUUCGUCCAUGGAUUUCCGAUCCGUAAUUUCCCAAGGGUCUCAUUUAUCUUCUAGAACAAUAUUCUAAAAUUUUGGAAUGAUCCAACAGUCGGAUCUCCGCCAAUUGCUAGAAUUUGGUUGCUAUCAACGUUUGGUUUAACAAACUUAGAAAUUCAAUUUGGGAAGAUCCGUACAUCGGAUUCCUAAUCUGUCAGUUCAUAUGGUCCUCAAAUAUUACAUACUAUAACGUAUUAAGGUUUGGUAACGAUCCAACGGUCAGAUCAUCGAAUCAUAUAAUGAUCAAGUGGCGGUAAUAUUUAAUACUAGAUUCAAACUAUCGAGCCACACCAAAGGGAUAUCAAAACUGAAAUUAGAAUGUUGAAUUUUACUUAAAAAGGCAACAACGGCCCACUGACCAUGCACCACCGCGGGUGGCGGUUUUCAGUGAACGGAAACCCCAAAUUCCGACAAACUCUAAAAUUCACCAAAUUUUGCAAAAAUGUACAACUCAAUGAGAAGAACAAUUUUUGUACCUGGGCCGAAGUCCAUUUCGGCCGGGAAGACUCUUGAAUUCACCUCGAUCCGCCGAAACUCUAGAAUUAGGUGUUUUUUGAAUCGCUGCCAAAUCGAACCCCGACUCUUCAACUGAUGAUUGGGCAUGAUUCACUAGAAGAGACGACCUGAUUUGGCUAUUUUUUCUCCUUCUCUCCUUUCCCUCCUUUUUUCUCUUUCUGAUUGGUCACCCCCUCCCUUAUUUUCUCUCUCGCAUCUCUCAUUUUCCCCUUUCUCUUGCUGCCACCUGGCAGCUUCUAAUCAUUUUAUUUAUUAUUAUUAUUACUAGCAUAUGGGCACACACAAAGUGUGUAAGAAAUUUUUUUUAUUUUUGUUUUGAAAUAGAAGGAGAGAGGAAGAGAGUGAAAGAGAAUGUGAGAGUGGGAAGUUUUAUUUUUUUAUUUUUUUAUUUUAAUUUUUUUAAUUAGAGAUAUGUUAGGAUUACAUGUAUGUGAGGCUUUGAAAAAAAAAGCAAAAUUUGGUUGUAUGAAAUUACAUUUCUACCCCAUAUUUCUUAUUCAUAUUCUGUUUUAAUUAGAGAGUUAAACUGGUAAUUUCAUAGGGUUUUGGUUAACAAUGAGUGUUUUAUUAAUUAGUAGAGAUUAUAUAUAUAUAUAUAUAUAAUUUUUUUUUUUUCAAACACUAAAACGUCUCUAAUUUCUUCAUUUCAAGUCCGAUUUGCAAACAGUUUUUGCAUAUGUGCUCGUAGGAUCAAACUCUAUCCAAUUAUACUUAGUGUGAUCCCAUAAAGUCCAUGAUUUUUUAAUGAUUACUGACCAAAAUUCAAACUUCGUAAUUAGUUUAAUUAAAAUUUAAAGUUAAUAUAAAUUCCCAAAAAUAAUAUAAAAUCUCCUUAAUACAAAUACGUAGUUGCAAUAGUGAAAUCCAGGAACAGGAUUUCACAAAAAUUUUCAUUAAACAUUGAGCGGGAAGAUAAGACAAUGAGGUGGGAAUAAUAACAUUCAUUACACAUUUGCACCUUGAAGUUUUAGAAUAACUUUUGGUCUUGAUAUUUGAUCCUUAAAUAUCUUUUUUCUACUCAAGUUAGUCCUUAAGCUUGUAAACACGGAAAUUCUUGCGAUGAACGAGACAAGCACACGUGUACAAAAUAAUAUUUGUAUUGAUGAUUUAGGGGUUACAAUCUCUUCUACAAAUUUAGCCUCUGAUUCUAUCUUUGUAACGAGUGGAUUUGAUGUUGUUGAUCCAAAGGGCCGUUGGGCUUGAUCUUGGGAUAAACAAUUGUGCGGAUUUGUUGACGUUGUUGAUCCAAAGGGCCGUCGGGGCUUGAUCUAGGGAUGAAUGAAUGAUGAAUGAUGAACACUUUCUUCAAGGGCCGUGGGGGGCUUGCUUUUGAAUGAGGAUUUGACGAAGAACGAAGAGAGCUUUCUUGAUUCUUCGGGAUUUGCUUGGGAGCUUUGGAGUUUCAAAGCUUCAAGGUUGUGGUGUGAGGUGAAUUGGUUAUGAAUUGGUGUCCAAAAAUGAAUGCCUUGGCCUCCUAUUUAUAGAAUUCCAAAACUUGAUUUUCUUGGAUUUAAAUAAUCAGAUGAAAUAAAUCAUUUCUGCCAGGUGUUGACACGUGUCCUGGUUGAUGACUUUUCCGAUUUAUUUUGAUUUUUCGUUUAGUCACAUAAAAUUUAUAUGACACAUAAACGUUGAAAUUUUAAUUAUUGAUCAACAUUUAUUUUACUGAAAUUUCGAUGUCUACAAAUGCCCCCACUUCAAGGCGCGUCGUAUACAUGUGCUUGUCAAGUGUAGAAGAUGCGUUUUGAAGUCCUUUACUGCAGAUGUUGAUCCAAGGGCCGUUGAUGCUUGAUUUUGAACUGGGUUGGUAAUUUCUUCAAAGGCCGUUGAGGCUUGAUCUUGAAGGUUGAAAUUAGACCACAAUGAGCUUCAUGUGGUAGAUGAUCUUUUGCUUUGGUAGUGGGUGAAUCGGCACGUAUUUUGUUGCGCUUGUUGACUUUCCACAUCUUUGAUCUUGAACUGGUUCGGAGGAGUUUUUUGUUUCCUCCAAUUGUUGACCUUCCAAAGGCUUAUUCUUGAACUAGGUUGGAGGAUUUUCUGGUUUCCUCCAAUUGUUGACUUUCCACAGGCUUAUUCUUGAACUGGGUUGGAGGAUUUUCUGGUUUCCUCCAAAGGAUUUUCCACCGACUUAUUCUUGAACUGGAUUUGAUUCAAGGGUGGUGGACACUUGAUCUUGAAUCGGACUUGUGAUUUCUUUAAGGGUCGUCGAGGCUUGAUCUUGACUUUGGCUGGAAGCUUUUUUAAGGGCCGUUGAGACUUUGAUUCUUGAAGGUUGACUCAAACACAUGGCAAGCAGUCACAAGGUGAAGGUGAUGGCCUGUUUCUUUGUUCAAUCUUUCUAAUUCACACCUGAGCAGUUUGGUCAACGGUAUGAUCUUCAAGAGUGAUGGGCGCUUCUUCCAGUUGGUGACUUGAUCUUUAAGGAUUUUCGAGACUUUGCUCUUUGGCGAUAGUGCCAGCGAAAGGUUGUUGAAGCUUCUCAAGCUCUUUGAUUAUAGCAACGAUGGCAGGCUUGGAUUUGACUUAGACCUAUCCGUCUGGAUUAUGCAGUUCUGCCGAGAAGGGUGUACUGCCAUAAUGAUUUGUUCCGAUUCAUCGUGCUGCGUUUUUUUUCUUUGCUUGUUUCUUUCGCCUAGCCGAAGUGGUGUGCAACCUUUUGCCUUUAAAUGGUCCUUUAGAGCAUCACUUUUCAGCCACUCAUCCAUGCUUGGCAGCUUCAGUGUAAAAAGCCAACACCAUAUCAACUGUUUUUGAAAUAUUUGCUGAGGAAAUUCGAGAUCCGUCAACAGUUGAAGAUGAGUACUCGAGAGCAACGCUAGGUAAGCAACCAGGCAAAGGUUCCGGGCAAUCAGUUCCUGAUCGGACGUUUAAUUUCAGGUUCCGACUGAUUGCUUCCUUUCUCCCUGUUCUGCAGGCAAGAACAAGGGCAAAUGAAAGGAUAGGGAAAAAGCAUGAUAUGAGAUACCUUUGCUUUCAACCCCGAUGAUAUGAGAUACUUUUGCUUUUGAAGAAGUAGCAGAUGAUCAGCACAUUUAUUUGUUGAGCUUGUCUCCACAUGCUUCGAUGCAUCAUUUUCACUCGCCUCUUCUGUUAUCCCAGCAGAUGUGGUAUCUUCUCUAGAAACAUAAGAUGUUGAGAUAAUGGGUACUUCGAGAGCAGUGCUAGGUGAGCAAUCAUGAAAGGUUCCAAGCAGUCGGUUCCUUACUAGGAGCUUGAGUGGAGGUUCCGACAUAUUGCUUUCUUUAUCCUUUUCUUUGUAGGUAAGAACAAGGACAAAGGAAAGGACAAGGAGAAAGCAUGCUAUGAUAUAUUCUUGCUCUCAACCCCAGUGAUAUGAGAUACCUUUGCUCCGGUGUGACUUGGUUGAAGAGGCGUUUCCAGGGAGGAAGAAAACUGAGUGUGUCAAGAGGUUUUAGUUGGAGAUGUAUUCUUGGCAAGGAAAAAGAGUUAGGCGUUUGUAUUUUCAGGGAGGAAGAAAACUGAGUUUUGGUUGCGGAUGCAUUCGGCAAGGAAGAAGAGAAGUUGGAUGUGUGUCUUGCUAUAGAGGAUGGAGGUCGAAUUAUAUGGUAAGCUUCCAACAGCAAGUGGCAGGGUGGACGUGGCCUUGUCACCCAUGCUUUGUUGGACUCCACACGUUUUCAACUUUGUCAGUGCUCUCUGGCAAAGUUGCACGUGAUAGCCGAAAGCUGAAACUACGUCUGAAAAGUGUUGACGGAUUUUACGCAGGAAAAUCCGGGUUUUGAAAUUCGAAGAGUGGCGUCUCUUCGAUUUUUUUUUUUUUUUUUUUUUUGUGAACAAGUGGUUGUGUUGCUUCUUCUUUUUAAAGAGGUGUCAAUUGCAUUCAACAUGCACACUUUGAAGAUUGCCCACCUUUGACAAUUGUCUUUGCUGUAUUUAUGAGAUUUUACUCACUUUAACCAUUUUCUUUUACCAUCUUUUUGGAAAUGGCUAACCCGUCUAACAUUUGCUUAGAUUUGAGUCUCAGCAGUGACGCAGGUGCACCGCGUCAGGGUAAUAUAUGGCGCCCGUCCUUUUCAUCUCCUAAUGGCCCUUUUACAGUUAAAGACUCUGUAAUGAGGGAUGCGGCAACAGCUACGGUUGUAGCUAAGAACCUUAUCACUCCUAAAGAUAAUAGGAUACUUUCACGACGGUCUGAUGAGUUAGCUAUUUGAGAGUCUCAGGCUCUCGGUGUCCAGUGUGCGAACUCUGUUUCCAACAUGGGCCAACGCUUACUUGUUCGAACUCGCCAAGUUGAAUCAUUGACAGCCGAGGUGGCAGCUCUCAAUCAAGUGAUCAGACAGCUCAAGCACGAUAAUAGAGAGUUGCAUGUGCUUGCAAAUAAUUAUUCGACGAGCAUGAAGAGGAAGCUUGAUCAGUUGCUGGACUCCGAAGGUCGGAUUCAAAGUGACAAUCGGAGAUUUGUGGAUGUAUUCUAGAGACACCUUUUGCCUUCGUCAUCUGGAGUUCGACCAAGUAUUGAGGCUCCAAAUAAUCCAUCUCCAGUGCCUCCCUCUUCCAGGGUUCCGCCGAGUACUAAGGCUUCAAGUACUGAGGCUUCGCAUGAGUGACAUUUGUGAAGGCUCCCUUUUUUUAUUUAUUUAUUAUUUAACAGUAACUGGCACUUUUUUUUAGUUGGCACUUUCUUUUUGUACAUAAUCAUAUUUUCCCAGUGCACCAUUUAGGGUAGCUGGCACUUUUUUUUAGUUGGCACUUUCUUUUUGUACACAAUCAUAUUUUCCCAAUGCACUAUUUAGGGUAGCUGGCACUUUCUUUUAGUUGGCACUUUCUUUUUGUACACAAUCAUAUUUUCCCAAUGCACAAUCCCAUCACCUCUCAUUUUGGUUUAUCUUUUCCAGGCACGGGUGGUCGUUUGCACAGUUUGCACAGUCACCUUAUCACAUUCUUUUGCUUAUGUGGGUCAGUGAUGCUUGAAAGAUCAUCAUGGACUGCACAGUCACGGACCUGCAUUUGAAUAGUCACCGCAUUUCAUUUGCUUCUCAGGAGACCAUUAUUUAUACAUAUAUGGGAUUGCUCCUUUGCUUGUACACUCAUUACACAGCUUCAGCCAUUGCGUUGCUUGUUGCCUUGAAUCGCCAUUGCACAUAUUUUUUAUUCAUUUAUUUUUAUUUAUUUUAAUUUUUUUGUAUGAUUUAUAUAUAUAUAUAUAUAUAUAUAUAUAUAUAUAUGUAUGUAUGUAUGCGCAGCAUCGGACGAAAGGCGGCCACCUGCAGCGGGAAAGGAGAAGCUGGAGGUACUGAGGCGGUGCAAAGCGUCGAGCUUCACGAUCGGCUAGUCAUUUGACAGCGGUCGUUGAAGUUUUUUUAUUUUUUCGAUUCAAAUGCAGCAGCAGAGGCAAGAAGAUAGAGGAGGUCUUUGGGUGUGAGUUGACAAACUUUGGUUUUGUCAAUCACAUUCAAAGGCAGCAGCCAUGACGGAGGUGCAGAAGCAGCUAGAGCUUGAGGCAGAGUGUAAGGCGUCGAGCUUUAUGACCGGCUAGUCGUUUGACGGCGAUUAUUGAAGUUUCUUUGUCGAUUUUGAUCAUGGUGGCCAAAGUGAAGAUAAGGGACUCGCAUGCUUGGAUACAUGAGCAUGGAGGGCACAGACGGAAGUGCGUUGAGGGCUGAAGGAGAAGGCGAGGAGAUAGAGGAAUAAGUUCCACCGUCACCACUUAUGCUUCACGACUGCACAGAGUUGCUUACAAUGUUUUUUUUUUUUUCAUUGAGACACUCUAAGCCUACUUUUCUAAUUCCCAAAACAGAGAACUUGCUAUGACUGCAUCGUAACGUAGAAGAGGAUCCCGCCAUGAGUUAUCUUUCUCGAAAGUCAAAACCAGUGCUGUCAUCUUCUUCUGUUCACUCAACUCAGUGGGGAAAAAUUACUCAUCAAGACCUUUGGGGUUGGUGAUGAGGAUGUUCCACGGAAAGCUGCAAGAAGAGGAACCCAGCAACCCACAGUUUCGCUUGAACUAGCUGUUUGGAUUUUAAGCUGCCGCCCUAUUUGAACUCGCAACAGCACAUCUUCACGUCAACCAGAGGUAGCACGACAAGCGGUUCCAGGCCUAACUUCAUUCUCUUUCAGCACCUCGUAGCAGUGACCCACAUGGACUUCAACCCCUCAAAGUUACUGAACCCUCACCAAAAUCCAAAUCCAGAAGAAAACGAGGUCUUUAUCUUUGCAUAUGCGCUAAUCCACCAGGCGCAGCAAAGGUUUCGAGGCUUGGAGACAGCGCAAAUGAUGGGUUCGAGAUCUGGCUUCUGACUGCUAUCAAGCACAUUUUAAAACGCCAAGUGCGUCGGUUCAAGACGGAGAGUAUGAAGCUUGAAGUUGUGGGUUGGGUUUAGUUGUGAGGUCUCGUCCUUGGUAUGAGUGGCGGAACCGAUUGGGCACAAUGAGAAGCACGUGAUCGGGAAACAAGAUUCGAUCUUAGACUCGAAACGACGGCGACGACUCUUUGUUGUGCUUGUUGUGGGCUGUGAAUGACUCGAGUAUCGAGUUGCUGGCGGUGGAGGUCGAUGUGUACCAUGGUUGAUCACCUUGAAAACUUACGGUAGCCAUAUCGAAAGUUGCGCCAGGCGGAAGGCCCCAGUGACGUUCUUGUUGAGCAAAGAGGGAGAAUGAGCUUGGCAUCGAAACUCUCAUGAAACUUUCGAAGCCAUGUGGUUGAUAGCAGCUGUCAAUUUUCCAAAGACAUUUGCAGUGCUACAAAACCUAACGGAGAUCCUACCAAAACACAGCAGCUUCAGGUGCUACGGAUUCAGGGUUCGUUCUUAACCUUCGCUCUGAACGGCGACUUGAUCGCGUAUAAUCCAGAUUUGGACGGGAACAGGGGAAUCAAAAUCGUCAAAUUGGACGGCUCAAAUUGCUAGAAUUUGAUCAAGCUGGGGGUACUGGACCGACUCGUGGCCUGUGGUGGGCUUGUUGGCGGAGGAGUGCUUCUGAAUCCAGAUCUUGUGCGUCUGCAGGUCUUCCUUUUGUUUGUGGGUGACUCUGCCACUUUCAUGAGAGGAAGAAGACGGAGGUUGUGCAGGGCGUUGAGCUGUUGCGGCUGUUGUUCUCACGGCGUUGAAGAAUGAUCUCGGAGAAGGUGAGAGGAUGAGCACGGGAAGAAGAUGUGGUGUGAUGGGAGAUUCAACUGGACCUAGCAGAAAGAUUGAGGCCCGUGUCUUUGGAGGGACAUGGCCUAGCAUGGGCUGCGGCCUGGAUUUGGAAGGAGAAUACCCAAUUUUUGUUUUUGACGAUGUUGAUAUCGACAAGGCUGCUAAGUGGGCUGCCUUUGGUAUUUUAUUUUAUUUUUUUUUUUUUGAACAGGACGGCUUCUUUUGAUGGGCUUGCCACAGAUUGGGCCUGGUGUUGCUUUGGGGUACAUAUAUAUAUUUGUUUCUCUUUUUCUUUUUAUUUUUUUUAUUUUUUAUAAAUACAUAAUAACAUAUGUAUUCAAUUUUUUUUUCAAAGAAACUGUAAUUUAAUUUUGUACAAAGAAAAUUGCAAAUAAAUUUGUAAUAAGAUUGACCUUCAUCAAUGAUACUUUAAUAAAGCCUUUUGUUUUUUUUUUUUUUGAAUGUGAAUGAACUCGAAAUUGAAUGCUCGAGUUGCUUACGUACCCUUCCAAAGAAGAGAUCAAGUCGAAACGUAGUUCAAAUGAACGAUGAAUUUAGCACUGAUUUUGAUGAUGAUUUUGCCAUACACAGUUAUCCUCUUGUGGGCCAUGAGCAUUUGUUGUCCCCUUUUAUGCUCGUGCGGACAAUGAGCGUUAGGUGUCGGUUUGUUAAGUGAUCCGGGAGAGUCCCUCGCAAUCUUCAUAGCAAGGAGCCUUGACCGAGUAGUUGAAGAAGUCUUCUGGGAAGAGGUCACACAUUGCGAUGGGAAUGGAUGAUCUUUGUGUCAAAGUUUCGUUAUCUCCAACACUUUCAUAUUGUUCUGGAGGUUGACAGGAGCUGUUUUGCCCCCUUUCCCAUUGGUGAACUUGUGGAAGAGACGGUUGCUGCCUGAAGAGGAGUUCCUCAUAAUCUUUAUAGUAAUGAGCCUUGACCGAGUGGCUGAAUAAUUUUAUGAGGAAUAAGAGAUCACGCAUGGUCGAUCUUUGUGUCAAAAUUUCCUCAUCUUCAACACUUUCACAUUGCUUUGGAGGUUGACGAAAGUUGCUUGGCCCCUUUUCCGAUUGGUGCACUUAUGGAGAAGACAUGAGCUUCUUGUGCAGUUUCUUCGGAGUGACAUGAGUCCAUCCUUCUUCACUUGGCUUGGAGCAUGCCCCCAACGUUCGAGGUGAAUACUUUGAGUCGAAAGAGCCAAAAGUGACGUAUUCCUGAGGGAUUUCAUAUUCUUUGUCUUUUUGGAUUUGUUGGCGUGAAGAUUGGCCGGUGUGGAUAAUGGUGCGCCUUUUUACUUUCAGUGGUCCAUUUGUGUCAACCUUCAAAGUUGCUUGGUGCUUCAUCCUUGAAAGAAUUGAGCUUCGAAUAUCGCCUUUUUUUACUAGCCUGUCGAGCUUUUCUUCCUUUGAUGUUGUUUCCCUAUUUCCAGAAAACUUCAUGUUGUCUUCAAGUCUUUCCAAAGCUGACUGACGAGGAGGAGAGCUAGCCGUGUUCCUUUGCUUCUUAGGUUUUGACAACCUUUAAAAAACAGAGCUUUGGGAUGUUGGCCUGGUAAGCCUCUUGAAGACGGAGGUUCGGUUUUGACCACCAAUGCGAUCCAGUGCUGACGUUCUGGGUCUUGAACGAUUCAUCCUAUCGAAGAUUGACGUCCGAGGGGAGGACUUAGGCUCCUCUUGAUCUUGUUCGAUGCUCACGCUGAUGUGUUGAGUGCUAGCAUUUUUUGCUUUGCUUGAAAUCUUCACGGGUGCAUUUGGUGUGAAGCCAAGUCCAACUUUGUCAUUGUCAACUCCGUAUUCAUGCUUCUUCAACUUCUUUUGAGUCUCAGUGAGGUCACGUUCUUUAUUGUUGACAGCGUUUGAAACCUUCUUCCCAAGAUUCGAAGAAGAAGCGAAGUCGUACCCAGCUUUUGACAUGAGUUUGUAGGCGUUUGGAUCAAAACCUUCUUCGGUCCUCUUGGUUGGGAGAAAGCUUGGUUCCACCCCCUUUGGUAGAGCUUUUACGAAGCCUUGUGGUAAUCUUGCAACCUUAGCGUUGCUUAGCUGUGUCAGAGGUAAAACAGCAUUCGUCUUGAGCAACUUUACAUUAUCCAUGUACCGUUGUGCAUCGGCUUUGCUUGCUUCAGUUUCGAAUGGGGAUUGACCAUUCUUUCUUCUUGACAUCGGGAUGUAUCGGAAAAUGGGUGUGUUUAGUCCAUUUGAGGGCGUCAUACUCCCUUUGGUUGUUGCAGGUUUAGCAAGCUCAUCAUCGUUCUUGCUUGAAGACGACAUGGCUUCUUCUUCUUGCUUCUUGGGCAUGGCUUGCCACUCCUGCUUUUUAGGUGUUACUUUGCCCGUGGAUUUGAUCUCUUUUGGAAGAGCUUCGAGCACCAUGUCUUCAUCCAUAUAGAACUUGGCGUCUGCGAAAUGUGAUUCGGCUUCAAUGAAUGGUUUGGUGUCGCCAUAGAUCACCUUCACUCCUUCUCGGUAGAAUUUCAAGCAUUGGUGAAAGGUGGACGGUACUACUCCAUUUGCAUGGAUCCAAGGUCUUCCUAAGAGCAAGCCGUAAGAAGUUCUUGCAUCAAUCACGUGGAAUAUCGUGCUUGACUUGAGUUCACCAAUAGUCAUAUCCACUCGGAUCAUGCCCAUCGCUUUUUGUCCUCCUUGAUUAAAACCUUGGAUUAGUAGACGACUUAGGGACAGUUCAUCCGCCUUGAUGCCGAUUGUAGUCAUUGUUGACUUUGGCAUGAUGUUUAUGGCUGAUCCACCAUCCACAAGCAUGCGGUUGACUUUGUGCUCCCUUACGUACCCCGUACCCAGAGACGAAGAGAUGACGGUUGUGAGGCUUGGAUCCUAGCAGCAAGUCUUCGUCGGUGAAAUGGAUUGCGUCCUCGAUGGCACAGCAUGUGGCCGAAGCUUAAAGCCUUCGUUCUUGCUUUCUUGCACUUCGUGGUCAUUGGGACUUUCCAAGAUCGCUGCUAAUGCUAUUGACAUCUUCUUUGGUAAUCGUAGCGCUUCCUCAAUGCUAAAGUGUGUUGGCAGACCUUCUUCGAGCGUGAGAGUUUUUUCUCCCUCAAUGGUGAUAUUUUUGCCUUUUGAAGGUUCUUCUAUUUCUACUUCGACCAUGUGGCAUGCAGCGAUAGUGCACUGUUGGAAGAAGUCAUUUAGGAAGUACUUGUGCAAUGAGACAGGAAUGCGUGGCUCUUGCUCCAUAGGUUCCCCAGCAUACGUUGGCUUAUCAACUUUUACGUUUCUUUUGGGCUUCCUACUGUUGGCGACGGUGCUUUCUCACUUAUUCCACCUUCUGUCUUAUGACUUGUGGUUUUGGUUUCCUUGUUUUUUUGUAGGUCACCAAUGUCCAUCAUUUUUCAUCAUCGGUAUGUGCAUCUUGUUCGUUUGCCCCCGGCGAUGGUUGCGUAGAAGGUAUCGUGCAACUUGAGCAUUGAUAGGAAUGGUCAGGUGCUGCUUGGAGAGGCACGGGAUCGAAAGAUCCAAAUGCAAUUGUAAUAGUAUGUGUUGCGACCGUGUCUUCGAGGUCGAGCUUGAUUCGCCCUUGUUGUGCUAGUUUCAUGAUGAGCUCUUUGAGGACGAAGCAUUUACCCACAUGAUGACUCACGAUUCGAUGGUACUUGCAGUAUUUAGGAUCGUUUAUGCGAUUCAUUUCUUCAGGCCGCUUGCAUUCGGGUAGCUCGAUUACCUUCUUUUCUAGCAAGUCGUCUAACAUUGCAUCCAUGUCUGAGUCAGGAAAAGGGUAUUCUUUAUGCUCCAAUUCCCUCAAGGUGCUUUUGUACCUUUCUUGGGUGCGAGGAGGCUCACUUUUCUUUAUCUCCUUUGCUUUGGUUUUGGAGGAGAUCUUGAUAGGCGCGGAGGCGGUCUUGACGGGCGCAGUGCUGACGGUGAACGCUUCAUUGGGGGGUUUCUUCCCAGUCUUGUCUACAUUUGGGGAGAACACCUUAUCUUUCUUGAAGUCGGUGAUCGGCUUUUUCUUCCCGUGAUGGGCAAUACUUAGCUCUAUGUCAUGGGCACGGGUGGCUAACUCUUCAAAUGUCCGUGGUUUGAUGCCUUGAAGGAUAUAGUGUAACCCCCAUUGCAUGCCUUGGACGCACAUCUCGAUCGAAGAGAUCUCCGAGAGCCUGUCCUUGCAGUCGAGGCUCAGAUUGUGCCAUCGGUUGAUGUAGUCCACGACUAGCUCAUCCCUCCAUUGCUUCGUGCUUGUCAGCUCUAGCAUGCUCACGGUGUGGCGGGUGCUGUAGAAGCGGUUGAGGAAUUCCUUUUCCAAUUGCUCCCAAUUGUUGAUGGAUUCAGGCUCUAGGUCCGUGUACCACUUAAAGGCAUUUCCUUUCAGCGAGCGUACAAACUGCUUAGCGAGGUAAUCUCCUUCUGUCCCCGCGUUGUUGCAAGUCUCAAUGAAAUGGGCGACAUGUUGCUUCGGGUUUCCUUUUCCAUCGAACUGCAUGAACUUUGGUGGCUGAUAACCCAUUGGCAUUUUCAAAGCGUCAAUUUUCUUGGGGUAGGGUUUUGAGUAUAGUACGGAGUCAUGUGAAAUUCCUUCGUACUGUGCCUUAAUAGUGCUGGCGAUCAUCUCUUGCAGUUGUUGGAUAGAAAGAGGUCCCGUGAGUGCCGCUGCUUGGCCUGGUUCCGGCUUCACAUCGAUUUUCUCCACUGGAGGCCCUUCAUCCUCGUCGUUUUCUUUCUUUACUGAAUCAUCCCCUUGCUCGAUUUUCAAGUCAGGCUUUACAUCUAGUUGGUUGACGAGUGCAGCGAUUUGCUGGUCUUUUUCUUCCACAAUCCGUGUUAGCCUUGCGAUCGCUUCAUUCAUAUGAGCCAGCUGCUCAUCUAUUGAAGUAGCUCCAGUAGUCAUGACUUGCAUGGCUGAGCUGCCGCUUGAGUUGACAUCGGAAAGAGUGGAACCAGAGUACUUCCUUGGGCUUUCCUUCCUUGGCGCCCUUAGUGAGGCCAGGGUAAUCACAGGUUCGUGCCUCGGGUGCUCUUGUUCCUUUGGCGGAGUUGAUGUAGGGGUAGAAGAGGCGGCAGAAAGAGCUCUUGCCUUGCUUCGAGUUAUGACGCCCGAAGUGACACCGCCUGCGGUGAUGACGCUCUUGUUCCUUGCAUUGGCUGCGAGAACAACUUGAGCCUUCUUUGAUGCCAUUUGUGCUUUUUGCGGAUUCAAAGAUAGAGAUGAGAGGUAGAGAUUGUCCCACUGGGCGUGCCAAAUUUGUAAACACGGAAAUUCCUGCGAUGAACGAGAAAGAACACGUGUACAAAAUAAUAUUUGUAUUGAUGAUUUAGGGGUUACAAUCUUUUCUACAAAUUUAGCCUAUGAUUCUAUCUUUGUAACGGGUGGAUUUGAUGUUGUUGAUCCAAAGGGCCGUUGGGCUUGAUCUUGGGAUAAACAAUUGUGCAAAUUUGUUGACGUCGUUGAUCCAAAGGGCCGUUGGGCUUGAUCUUGGGAUAAACAAUUGUGUAGAUUUGUUGACGUCGUUGAUCCAAAGGGCCGUCGGGGCUUGAUCUAGGGAUGAACGAAUGAUGAACACUUUCUUCAAGGGCCAUGAGGGGCUUGCUUUUGAAUGAGGAUUUGACGAAGAACGAAGAGAGCUUUCUUGAUUCUUCGAGAUUUGCUUGGGAGCUUUGGAGUUUCAAAGCUUCAAGGUUGUGGUGUGAGGUGAAUUGGUUAUGAAUUGGUGUCCAAAAAUGAAUGUCUUGGCCUCCUAUUUAUAGAAUUCCAAAACUUGAUUUUCUUGGAUUUAAAUAAUCAGAUGAAAUAAAUCAUUUCUGCCAGGUGUUGACACGUGUCCUGUUUGAUGACUUUUCCGAUUUAUUUUGAUUUUUCAUUUAGUCACAUGUUAUGUGUAAAAUUUAUAUGACACAUAAACGUUGAAAUUUUAAUUAUUGAUCAACAUUUAUUUUACCGAAAUUUCGAUGUCUACAAAGCUGUUUAGAAGUGUUUUUAAUGAGGAAAUAAUGGUGUUUGCUACAAAAGUUGAUAUGCUUGAUCACGAGAAGGUCUUCCAUAAUGAAGUCAAAUUAGGAGGGUUGUGAAAGGAAGGUGGGGUCAAAAGUGGGUUAGAGUGAGCAUGACAAAUUUGGGGGUGGAGUACGUGAGUGAAUUUUGUGUCUAGAGUCGCACAAAAACGUGGUCCAGUUGCUGGACCACAUAAUUUCUCCCUGAUCACAUGCCUAACUCUUAUGGAUAUUGUAUGACUUGGCUAGGGGUUAUGGUAAAGCUGCACAUUUCAUCAGACUAUCUAUUUGAAGAUUUUUAAGACGGACAAUCAAUAAUCGACAAUGUAAAUGCAUUAGUUAUAGAGAGAUAGAGUGAUUUAGGAAACCCCAUUGGAUUAGUUCGAAUUUAAGCAACUUAUCAAUUAUUGCAAUCAAAAUAAUAAACUAUAUUAAUCGGUUCUCAACUCUUCUCAAGCAAACGUUGAUCUGAGAAGGAAGAAAAACCCAUCCCAAUAGGUUUGAAUUGGACAGGUUUUCAAUUUUUUAGGACCUAAACUUUAUGUCCACUUUUGUAAUGAAAGUCUUUAAUUGGCCUCAACUCAAGAGUUUAAUUGACAAAUUUAGGAUAAAAUAUGUUGGUUUUUUAGCCAAAAUGGUCUGUGAAAUUUGUAUAAUUCUUCACCUUGGUCUUUGAGAUUUGAAAUCAAUACAAGUGGUCUGUGAGAUUGCCUACCAUCUAUCAUUUUGAUCAUUCCUGAAUAGUUAUGUUAAAUAAAGAUUUGAAUGACAAAACUAUCCGUAAUUUAAUAAACAAUAGACGAAAAUGAUUUGACAAAAAAUUAAAGGUAUUUUUGUUAUUUUAUUCUUAUUUAAUGAAGAUUUUUCACGAAAUGAGCAAAAUGAUUGAUUGUGAACAAACUAAUGAACAAAUUUUAUCGAUUUCAAAUCUCAAAUAUCAAAAUGAAGAGUUAUGCAAAUUUAAGGACCAUUUUGGAUUAAAAAAAACCAAAUAUGUUUUAAGGACGAAAGUGAAAAAAAUCCCUCAGUUUCGGAUUGUCGACCAUUUGUAAGUAGACCAUUCGUCUACAACUACAAGGGCCGGUUCGGAUUGUUUAAAUUUGGGUUGCCCGAGCUCUGACCCGCCCAGAUAACCCCGGAGCAUUCUGAAGGCUAGGGUUUUGACUCUCUCCCUACUAUAUAUACCAACUGCAAAGCAAAAUUCCUCCUCGUCCUAAACGGCCCCCGAGUGAAUCAGCUGGUACCGCCAUAGCUUCUGCUUCCGCCGACUAAAUCAUGGGGCACUCAAACGUCUGGAAUUCUCACCCUAAGAACUACGGCCCUGGAUCCCGCACCUGGUGACUCAUUUUUCUAUUUCUUUGUUAGUUUAUUGCGAUUUAUCUGUGUUACUGCUAGCUUUGAACGUUUUUUGUGUAUCUACAUCUGGGAUUGAGUUCCGAUUCGAUGCAUUUUUUUUUUGUAUUCGGGUGUUGGUGCAUCUUUGUGGUUAAAAUUGUUAUUGAGUAUGCUUGCUUUGGUUCCUUUGUACAGUCGCGUGUGUGGAAACCCUCAUGGGUUGAUCAGGAAGUACGGCCUCAUGUGCUGCAGGCAGUGCUUCCGCAGCAAUGCCAAGGAGAUCGGCUUCAUUAAGGUAAAGGCUUCGAGAACCCUUAGCCACCGAUCAUUUUAUGAUUCCAUUUACGGAGCUGAGCUUUCACCAUUUCCACUAUGUAAUCUGGUUUCAUUUUUCAAACUUUAUGGUUGCAGUACCGUUAAAUGGCAGACAUUCAACAUUCCAGGACUCGAUGUUUUGGACCAAGAAGAGUAGUAUUGGUUUCUGAGUUCUCCUCAACUUUUAAGAAAUAUUUUUGUUUUAGUUGAUCUGCUGUUGAACUUGAAUUGGUCGUCAGACUAAGAAUACUGUGUUAUUAAUGAAUUAAAGUUUGAUUUAUGUCCUGUUUCUUGUGGCUGUUUGAUGUUUCUCUCGUCCUCGUCUUGGUUAUCUCAAGUGACAUGUAUAUAUCUCGUUCUUGCUUAGCAUUCCUUGGGUCCGAAUAAGUUCUUGCUUAACAAUCAAUCGAAUGUCGAACAGAAAAAGUGAACUUGAAACUGGCUGGCAGUGUGUCAUCCACUAUCUAUCUGUAGUGUUUGUUUUGAAGCCGAUGUACCAUGUUCUCGCUAUGUUAGUUAUGAUGCAGACUAAAGUUGCUUCACCAGAUCGGAAGCUUGAGGCGACUUAUGAGGAUUUGCCAGAGGAUUACCCCUGGCACUUGCUUCACUUGCAGAUAAGUUUUAAGUGUUUGUUUAUUCAUGUCAUCGGUUUUUGUUGUGUUGUCGGUACGGAUCAGAAUUCAUAGCUUCUAUGAUUGCCUCCACCACAAUUAGUUAUCUGUCAACCGUGCUAAGAUGAUUGAACAUUUUCUUGCCAGAUUAUUUGUUUGAAAUUUGAAAUAUUUUGUAGAUUUUGUCAAGAUUUGUAGUGGUCGAUAAAUGAAUGCUAUGAGAACUGAAAUUGAAAAAAUGGUAUGUGGUCUAUAGACUUUGCCCAUAAAAUGUUUGAUUAACUAGCGAACCCGGUGGUAGAUCAUUGGAUGUUAAAAAAAUUCCAUUGUGAAAUGGUUUAUUUUUUUUGACAUGUUAAAAGAGUUUGUAUGGGAUGUUAAAAGCAGGCUCGUCAAUUUUUUUGAAUCACUCGUUAACUUGACAAGAAAUGUUACGAAAAUAACAGGUUUCGAAUCAACGAGUUGGGUCAUUGUCAAGUCACUUGUUAAGAACUCGAUAAUAUAUUAUUUGCCAGAUUUAGACAUUAAGCUUGUUAAUUUCUUGCAUGACUUGUUAACUGGACAUGAACAACAAGAUUCUUUAACUUAUUGGGUCAAUAUUGAGUUAUUAGUUAAAGUUUUUUUUUUUUUUUUUUUCAGAUAACGAGUUUAACACGACACGGUCUAUUAAGAUAGAUAAGAUUUGACAAACAUGAUCCGUUUACCAAACUUCAUUAUAAGCACUCUAAAUAUGUCGUCCUAAUUAAAGAAAUGUGUGCGCAUGAAUUUUUCUGGGAUUGUCGAUGGUAGUUUUCUUUAUGUAUUUGCAGACUAUCAUAGGCACUCUAUACUUGUUUAUCUUGCUGUCCUAAGAAAUGUGCUUUAGUAAAUUCGAGUGUAGAAUUAUAUCAUAAACAAAUCCGCUUCCACAAAACUUGUAUGCAGCAUCAAACGCAUAGGGAAUAGACUAACCUUUGUUUGCAUUGAAAUUGAAAGAAUUCAUGUCUUGCAUAUAUUUAAAAGGAUAAUUCUCACUUUACUGCUUUAAAUUAUUGUGGUUUUCGAACUUUCAUACAUCAAGUUUUUUUUUUUUUUUUUUUUUUUUUUUUUUCAUUCCAGUAUCGUACUUAAAAUGAGAAUUGUGACACUUUCAUACAUCUGUUAAGUUUUUCGUAAAAACUUCCUUUAACUCGUGAUGUGGCUCUUACAUGAAUACUGAUUGAACGUCACAUGUCAUAUCGCUCCAUGUGGACAUUAACAAAUUAAAAAAUAACCCCAUAAAUAAACAUAUAAUAUUUUUGUUUGUACCAUACUUAGGGUCUCUGCAUUUAGAUUUCGUAUAAAUACUCGGGGGACUCAAAUGUAAUUAUGUAAUAAAUGAAGGGGCAAAUAUGUAAAAAGGGGAAGAGCCCUUAGUCUAUAAAAGGACCUCCUCACCCUCACAAUCCUCAAGCUCUGAGACCAGAGCAAGGCCUCACUGUCAUAUUCCAAGGGCUCUCACCCUCAUAUUCCAAGGGCUCUCACCUUUACAAUCCUCUCACAAACAAAGAAAUACAAUAUUAGUGUGGACGUAGUCCAAACAUUGGGGUGAACCACGAUACAUCUUGUGUUCUUUACAUUUCUUGCAGAUUCACGGUUGGAUUUACGUUGUUCCAAGACCUCUGGUUUUGUGCAUCAACAUUUGGUGCCGUCUAUGGGAAUCGACACAAAAAACUAUGUCGGUUUUCUCUCAAUUUUUCAUCUCACCACCGUGAGACCUCACCACACUCCACUAUGAAUCUGCAGAAACCCAGAACCUCCCUCAUUGGGCUUUUCCAAAAAACCCCCACAAACACAAAACCGCUCGUCCCUCCCUCUUACUUUCUCUCUCUAAAAACUCCAGAUUCAGAAAAGCUCUCUCUAAACUAAGCUUUCUCUCUCUAGAAUCUGCAGCAAUGAUAGACAGUAUGUUGAGGCUCUCUUUCUUCUGACCCCAAGCUCCUCUUCAGCUACACCACCAACUCCUCCAGUGUUGACCACUUGGGCUUCAACUGUGAACGGCCACUCACCCGCCUCAUGCACCACGGAUUCAUCACCGCCAAUCCUACCGUUGUUCAGCAUAUCCUGAAGACCAACUUCCCCAACUACAAAAAAGGACAAAGAGCACCUGGAUUCAAACUGACCUCUUCGGCGAUGGCAUUUUCAACAUCGAUGGAGAUAACUAGAAGUUCCAGCGCCAAGUCUCCAACCACGAGUUCAACACCAAGUCUCUGCGUAAAUUUUUCGAACAGGUGGUCGACACCGAGCUUUCCGACCGCUUUAUUCUAAUUCUCUCUGCCGCCCUCGAGCCUCCAAACCUACCACCAUCUCAAUCUGCUCCUCAAACACAACACGACCGUGACUUUCGUGUUCGCAAACUCGGAUCCAAAGCUCGAGAACCACGAACUCAGUCGUGCCUGGACUUUCUGACGAGUUUUCCGUCGUUGUCCGGGCUAAUAGCAAAAGAGAAGUCCACUGCAGGACUCCGAUGAGUUGCAGAGAGAAACACCACCGGAGACUACGUCAACGGGUUGUCAUCUUAUUAUGAGGGGGUCUUUCUCGCUCAAGGCAAGACCAUGAGCGUUUGCCUCGGGUCAAACAAUUACACCGACCCGACCCGACCCGACUUCUUCGUUCCCUUCGACACUCGAUGUUACAGAAGAUACUAGAGAACGAGAUAUACUCCAAAGACGAUCUCCGGGAGCUUCUCAACUGUUUCCUGUAGCUUAACUCUCCCUGCAACCAUGGCAUUAUUAUCAGGGUCUUCACUGAGAUCUGGAAUGCUGUUUUCUCUGUCCGGUCUGGAGGUUCGACGUUGCUGCACUUUGCGAGCAACAAGUCAUGUGACUACGAGCUAAAGCUAUAUCUUGUGCACGUGCAACGGAGUUGGGAGACUGAGUUUUCAUUUACAUGUUGAGUUAAGAAGAAAACAAUGGGAUUAAAUCAAGUUACUUUGCCGUCUGUGGCCACGUCAUCGACUCCGGGCUUGUUCAAGCUGUUCAGCCUGAGAUCCGUGGACGGAAAGACUUCAUGCUCGGCCGUGGACGAUGGUCUUAUGAUGAACAACCUGACAGUGGCGGCUGUUACGCACAUGCUCAACAACAAGCGCGACUUCCCCUCCGUCAACGGCAGCAUAUUGGGGCAACAAGCAAUAAUUCAAAGAGCUCAAUGGCCCAUGCCUUGCAUCUUCUUUGCAGGGUGGUAGCCAUGUGAAAUAUUUUCUGAGAAAGCAAAAGAUGACCUUGGGUGGACAGAAUGAGCGGGGAGAUCAAGAAAAGCAAAAGAUAAAUUUCUUAUUAUUAUUAUUCUAUCAUGAUUCCUUUUGUCUGUCAGGUGAAGAGACAUGGAGAGUGCAGUGGAAAAGCAAAAGCAAAGCAAAAAAAACAAAAGCAAAGCAGAAAAACAAAAGCAAAAGCAGGAAAGCAAAAGCAAAUCAGAAAAACAAAAGCAAAAGUAGAAAGCAAAAACAGAUAAAAAAAUCAGACAUAAUUGCGGUGGUGAUGGCAUGCAGAAUAGGGAAUUAUGGGCGUGACCCAUUGAGCAGAGGGUUAGAUUUAUUUUUGAACGAUGUGAUUUAUUUUUCUUAUCAUUCGGAGACAUCUGUAUAACUCCAUUAGAGGGUAAUAAUCAUACAAAAAAAAUAACACAUCAUCCUAAUAACAAUCAUACACAUCAUAUUGAUCAUACAUAUGUAACCACAUUUCAUAAACGUUUCCAAGCUACAGUCGAAUCACAAUUAAUAAACAUAGAUCGAUGCUAAAAAUAAAAUAACACUACAAUAGAAAGCAUAUUUAAUUAACAAGUAUAACUCAAUAUGAUGCCACUAAUACAUAUAUCGAGACACACGUCAAUCGAGAAUGGCACGCCAUCGUGAUGAGCCAACUAAGUUCCAUCAAGCCUCAACAACAAACUAGAGAUAAAUGACACUUUAGAGUAUAGCAUGUUGACUAGAACGUCAACUAUCGAUAAGGUAUGUCCAUUAAGAUCAACAAUCUAAGGUUAUUCAAAUUGGAAGAUCCUCACAUCGGAUUUCCAAUCCGUAAGUUCUCAAAGGUCCAACAACUGAUACGACGAUCCAACGAUCGGAUUGUCGUCAAUCAUACAAACAAAUGGUGGUCCAAUUUGAUCACCACAUCAAACAAUUGAAUUUUGGGAAACCGAGCUAGACAUAGGUUCAUAGGGUCACUAGAAGGUAUUUAGUGCUUAGACAACACUUGUGGACGGUCCCACGCACCGCCACACGCGAUGGUAGCCAUGGUGAAGGGUUUGAAAACCCAAAUUUUCAACCUUAACCAAAAAGGCUCAAAUUUACGUGGUACCUAGAGCUCAACAAGGGAAACAUUAUUCACAACUAGGCCAACGACAAUUUCUAACCAGAAACCAUCCAAAUUCAUUGGGAAAAAACCGGGUUUUUAGGGUUCUAAACACCCAACUCUAAAACAAAUACGAAAGCACAAACCAAGCAUACCAUCAUGAAGAUUAUGAAGAGUAGAUGAAGUUUAAUACCUCACUCGAAAGAAAUGGUUGCCGAAAUCACCGGAAAAAUAAUAAAAUCGCCGGAAACCCAUGAAACUUUGCUGCCUCAAACUGGAAAAUGGAUAAGAAAAUGGGAAAUCUAAUACUGCAGAGAUGUAGGGCUCGUCAAGAGCUUUCCAUGGACACCAAGAUCACCCAAAACGGAGAUCGGAUGAAGGAGAUAUGAGCGGAUCAAGUUUGCGGGUUAACAGAUCUAAUUCGCCCCAAAACGGGUUAGAAUCAGACCCCCUUUGCCUUUUUUUUUUUUUUUUUUUGUUCUUCUUCUUUUCUCUCGCCACCCCUGUGGCUUUUCUUUCCUUCUCUCUUUUGGCCACUCCCGUGGCUUUUUCUUCUGUUUUCAUUUUUUUUAGCAACAACUUCAAAUGUCCGUAACUAUACCGUUAUAAUCCAAACUCGCAAACGUCUUUCGCCUAUGCAUUUGUGAGCUCGAUAUCUAUUCAACAAUAUAAAUUGUGAACUCGAAUGGUCUAUGAAUUUUAAAUAAUUAAUUUCCCGAAAAAUAAUAUAAAAUCUCUAUAAUACCAAUACGUAGAUUAUUAUAAUGAAAUCCAGGAAUGGGAUUUUACAAUCGCAACAAACCGCGGUUAUGAAGUGGCUGUAGAUCGGAGCAGAGAUGAGCAAGGAGUAACACCAAUUGGGGUAUGAAGAAAUGGGCAGAUUGCAAAGGAGAGCAAGGGAAAAACAGCAACAAGGAAGACAACAUAACAGAGAAAGCACAACCACUGACCCUAACAACAACUAGGGUCAGUGGCAUCGGAGUUGAUCGAAAGUGGAACCCUCACAUAAGCGGUGGUGAGAAAGGUCUCUCAAGCAGAGAGAAAGUCUCUCACAAGGAGAGAAAGAAGAUCACCGCCCACUUGAGUUUGGCUUCAACCCUUUCAAAACUUAAAUCUCUUCAACCGCAAGAAAUUGUCUCGAAUUUUAUACAAUCUAGGAUAUGAAGCGAAACAAACAGGACACCAAAUGAAAUGGUUAGCUCAACUGUGCUACUAAUGUAUGGCCUAAAUAUUGGUAUGGAAUACGGACUAGAACACAGGUAUAGACAAUGAUAUGAUUUUGUUACAUGUUCGAAGAUUUAUUGAGGAUUAUUGUUGGGUAUGAAAAACAACUCUAAGACGUUAGCAGCUCUUAACAGUCAUUUGAUCAUUGUGUAUUGUGGUUCAUUUCUCAGACUUAAUUAUUUGGGAUCUUGGAACACUGUAGGGGUAAAUUAUCAACUUUAAGUUCCAUAUUAGUUAGGUAAUGUAAGAUGAAAAGAUUUCCCGGAUGAUUUACUUACUAUACUAUGUUGAUGACCAGGAGGUAAUUCAUGUAUACUUUUUCUUCAAAGAAAAUUGUAGCAAUGGUUUAUCAACUUAAAUUCUAUUGGAGCAAUGGUCCCUCAGCUAAAUAUUCAUGACCAUUGGUCCCUUAACUCAUCAAAACGUAUCGCUAUCGUCAUUUUCAUGAACUCCGUCAAAAUAAGUCAUGUUGGAAGGACCAUUGCUACAUUUGAGUUCAAGUUGAGGGAUCAUUGCUCAAAUUGGGUUAAAGUUGAGUGACCAUUUCUCCAAUUGGGUUAAAGUUGAGGGACCAGUGCAACAAAUUUUUCUCAUUUGGUUUUCCAUAUAUACCUCUUCAUUCAGCCUCUCGUGCAUAACACAUGAUUUAUUUUGAAGGAAGUUGUAACGAAGUUGACAAAAAGGACCAUAGCUACACGUUUUGACGAGUUAGGGGACCAAUGACCAUAAAUUUUUAGUUAAGGGACCAUUACUCCAGUUGAGUUAAAGUUAAUGGAUCAUUGCUACAAUUUCAUUUUUUCUUCAAGAUCUCUAUGUAAAAAGGAAUUUUUUUUCAUCCAUUUGAUACAAUGGCCACUCAUGGUUGACAGCCAUUGACAAGAGAACCCUUACGGUGUUCAUUUUGGCAUCUGGAUCAAAUGUCUUCUAGUAAUCAACCCCAAAAGUUUAAGUAAACCCUCAAGCCACCAAUCUAACCUUGUGUCUUUCAGUUGACCCAUUUGAGUGAAACUUGGUCUUGUAAAUCCAUCUACUGCCCACAACCUUUUUACCCCUUGGAAGUUCAACUACACUCCAAUUUUUAUUGUCAUCUGGAAAUGCUAUGGAAAUGCUUAUACGGUAAUACGAUUGACCUUUGACCUCUUUGAUGAGAGAUUUUUUAUGUGCACGAAACAUGAGAUGAUACACUAUCUAUAUGAGUGGUGAGAUACUUGUAAUAAAAAAAUUAACAAAAUAAAUAAAAAUUUCCACCACUUAUAUAAUAACACAUGAUGUAUCACUCGUGUUUCUGAGCACAAUGAAAAAUUUGUCCUCUUUGAGCCACCGUGUAAAUGCUUCCUUGACCCGAAAGAUGCAUUAGGUUAGCAUUCUAUAUAAGAUGGUUGAGAAUGGAUGUAAAGUAGUGAUGCAAGACUAUACAAACUAGAAUUUGUGUUUAAAUUUUGAACAAUAGUAUUAAUAACCGGGAGAUUUACGAUUUUUGGUGUUGCUUGUGUCACAACAUCCAUCCAAUGUCCCUUCCAAUGGUAGCUACUCUUAAAGAACUUUGAGGAUAUUAAAUAUCAUUUCAAGCUUAGGGGAGAGGAUUGAUAAACCAUAUUGUAUAUACGACUAGCUAGCUUAUUUGAUGAACUUGGACCAUAGAAACCUGUCCUACUUGUCGAUCGAGGAACAUAUCACAGUUUAAUUGAUAAACUAUUUUUUAUGAAUCUUAUCACAAUGUCACACACGAGCUGGAUCAAAGUGCUUGAUGAAUGUGGCAAUGACUUGGAGUUACGUUCUAGCUUUGGAUACAUAAAUAAUUAUUGUUUAUGAUUUAUGUUGGAAUUUAGGAUUAUUUUAUUGUUUGAAUUUGGACUUAGCCCAUUAGUAUUAGGAUUUUGUUUUCUUGCUUAUUAGGGUUAUGUUAGUUCUUUAUAUAUAUAAUGUUUUGUAGCUCGUAGAAUAAUAUGUUAGUCACAAUGUAGCCUCUUAGGAUUUUGUAGUCGUUCUGACAUUCUCAUUUGUUUAAUAAUAUUUUUAUUAUUUUGUUAGUCUUGUUCGUUGCGUACUCUGAUAUUCAACUUGGUAUUAGAGCAGUUUCAAUCUUCGGGAUUUAAUUUGCUUGUGUCUGGUAUCGGUCUGUCCGUCACUCCCUUAUCUCUUCCGCUUCUUUGUUGUCGGUUUGCUUUAUUGUGGUGCCUAGAAGUUGUUUAGGAUUUGUGUUUCUAUUAAAAAAAGGAAAAAAAGAAGUAUGUAGAAGAUGAGAAAUUUGAAGCCUAGUCACUGGAGUCGAGCUUCCAGAGCCUCGUUGCGCUGGAGACAACACGACCACCCCCGCUGUGACUCCCGUCCACCUGAACAGUACUCGUACACCCAUAUUUGCACCACACCUUCACCUUUCAGUAGUCUCGAAUCCGCUGGACCCGCAUCGAUUCCACGCACCACCACCUGCCAUCGAACUCAGAUCGUCAAAUCUGGUGACUUGUUGCCUCAGCUGGAACAUGUGUGCUACUGCACUCGCAUAAUGAACCACCGUUGCUGCUGCUUGAAUCAACUCGUUGAAUCUAGUCAUAUCCACACCGCGUCACCAUCAGGUUAAAUCCAGAAAGUUUGUUUGAAGAAACUGUUGAGGAUUUUGUGCCAACAUUAUUGCCAUGGUUUGAAGAAUGAUUAUGGUUGCUGUAUUUCAAAGUUGUUGGGAAAGAAGAAAAUUACAUGUUUGUUGGGCCACUUGUGUUUGAGGCCUACUGGUUGCAGGGCCUGUUAAGCUAUAUCUGAUUGUUUUUAAGAAAGGUUGCGCCAUAUAGUGUUUGUUGUUGCCCACCACAACAAUUGUUCGAGUGCUUGAACUUGUGACCACCCGAAUUUGCUUGUUUGUCUGGAUUGUUCGUUUACUUGCUUGAUUGCUCGCCUGCUUGCCUUGUCGUGUCCGCCUAACAGAGCUUGCCUUGUCGUGUCCGCGAAACAGAGCUUGCCUUGUCGUGUCCGCCUAACGUAGCUUACAUCUGCAUCUGCUUGUUGGCAAACUCAUGACUUGUACCGCCAUGAGUUUGACCGGGGGUGUUGGAAUUUAGGAUUAUUUUAUUGUUUGAAUUUGGGCUUAGCCCAUUAGUAUUAAGGUUUUAUUCUUGCUUAUUAGGGUUAGGUUAGUUCUCUAUAUAUAUGGUGCUUUGUAACUCGUAGAAUAAUAUAUUAGUCACAAUGUAGCAUCUUAGGGUUUUGUAGCCAUUCCGGCAUUCUCAUUUGUUUAAUAAUAUUCUUAUUAUUUUGUUAGUCUUGUUCGUUAUGCACUCUGAUAUUCAACUAUGCAUUGUAUAGGGAUAUCAUUUACAGAAUGACGACGAACUGCCUAUACAUGAUUUUGUGAACUACACAUGAUACGAGAAUGUGCCAAGUUGUUGUUGAUGAAAUUAUGGAAUUAUGGUAGUGGUUAAGAUCUUUUGCGUAGUUGAGCUGGAGUGUUGGAUGUAUCAGGUCUCAGGUCAGCUUAAAGUGUACGGGUUAUUUAUCGGGUAAUUUGGAACUGGCAACAAAAAGUUAGACAGGACGACUAACAAAAUAAUGGGGUUGGGAUGUUUUGGGAACGGGUUUAGUUUGUAAAGUUGAGCAUUACAUAUCACAACUAUCGUGGUAAAAUGUAUGAUAUAGGACAUGCAUAUCAUUUCAUAUGUGUUUUUAAGUAUUCAUUGAUAAUUGAAUUUUGUCAAUUAUAUAUGUGAAGGUAUAAGUCCCUACUGAGCUUUUCAAGCUCAUCCUAACUAUAUUUUGCAGGUAUAUGAACUAGGCAAUUCAAAAGGGUAGGCAAGAUGAGAUGAAAUUGGAAAGGAGGCUUGAGCUGUUCUUGUUAUUGUAAGAAAUAAGAGUUUUAUUAUUUCUUUGUAACCUUGUAAAGAAUUUUUGGUUAAUUUUAUAAGAGGAAUUAUUUUCACACAAUUGGCUUUCUUUUAUUUGUUUAUUUCUUAAGACCUGGAUCCGGAGCGUGACAUAAAAGGAUUCUUAGAUAUCGAAAGGGCAACAUCGAUUUUGAUACUCAUUUCAAAUUGGUACUUUAGAUUUGAGAUAGUAGAUCAAUUUCUGGUUUUGUUAUUCUUCUUGGUCCAAAAAACAACAUACCCUCUCUUGGUCCUCCACAGAGGCAGAGUAUGGGACUAUGACAACUACCACUCUUGAAGUUGUGUGGAUACUUCAGUUGUUAUCAGACUUGCAUGUGUCUAUUCCUCAUGCUUCUGUUUUACAUUGUGGUCGUAAUCGGCGGGGACUCUUGGAAAACAAUGAUCAACCACUAGAACUAUAAUUUGCCAAUUCAUAACUUGUAUUUUGAUCCUUGUAUUAGCAUCAUAUUUUGUAUCCCAACUCCUGAACUACUUUGUGCAUUACAACAUCUUCAAUGAUUGAGAAGAUCACCUAAACUAAAAAAGCACAAAAGUAAGUACCUGCAUAAUAAUCUACUUCACCAACCCACUUAACUAAAAUUUCUUCUCCUCCAAGUUAUUUUCCAAAUCCUCUUUUCCAGAUGCCUUUUUUCAACAUCAAUCAAUUCUCUAGCUAUCAUUCAGGUAAAAGUUUCUGCAAGUCAUUCGAUUACUCAAUCUCAUUAAUACUCACCAUUGCCAAUCCAAAAGCCAUGCACCUUAACCGCACUUGUUCUAAUGGUUUAUCUCUUCUUAAUGGUGAAAAAUGUUCCAAUCGACAUCAAAACUCCCCGUCACCUUGGAUUAUAAAACUAUAGAAUGUUAAGAUUGCAUAUAGGUCACCCAAUGACGUCCCACUACUAACUACUCCAACACUGAUAUUAUCUCUAACUUAAUGACUUGCAUAGCUCGUACUCAUCACAUUCGCAUUUUAGGGUAAAAUUAGUCACAUUUUUUUUUUAAUUUGGAAAAGAAAUGGUCACACUCGUUUCAUUGUGGGGUUGGAGAGGAAAGGAGAAGCAAUGUUAUUGAAAAUCUAUGGGGGUGGUGAAGACAAAAUCAUUCUUCUAGUUUAUAAUCACUUUCAAAACAAACUAACUAAUACACAAUUAAACAAACAUCUAGUGGGUGUGUUACUUUUAAACUAAUUAUUCAACUGGAGUGUACCUUAAGGCACAUGGCUGCAAAAAAAAUCCAAAGCUAUCAUCAUUUCAGGACAUAUAUUAGCCUUAACUAAAACCAAAAGAUGUCAUUCCAUAAUUGGUGAAUCCAUAAUAUAGGGUGAUAAGGGGUUCUUAACAGAUUUGUAUUAUAAGACUUGUAGUUCAAGUAGUUAAGAAUGUUUAUUCAUGCACUCGAAAUUAUGUGUUUGAUUCUUUUUCCAAUAACCUGUGUAUUCAAAUAAAAAAAAUUCAAUAUGCUAAAGUUACAAACCCCUCUUAGUAUCGUUAUAUAUAAAACCAAUGGCCCAAUGAACAAUGUUUUUUGGUGUCACAAGCUUCAUAAAAAAUAAUUGGACAAAAAUACCCCUCAAAUGAGCAACUUGAAAAGCAAUCCAAAAUAAUGCAUCAAAUAUGACAUGAGUAUUUUCAUCAUUUUUAUUGAGUAGAUGACGAAGUCCAUGCUUGGAAUAAAAAAAUAAUAGGAAACUAAUUUAAAAAGUUUCAAAUCUUUGCAUUUUAAUAAAAAAUCAUCCACAGAUUUUAUUUAAUGAUAAUGGACAAAAUAAUAUAUAAAUAAAAAACACCACAUGCUCUGGCGCGCAUACACCCCAAUCCACCCCCCAUUUCCACACUGUGUUUCACCUCAUUGUCAGCUAUCAUUAAGACAUUAUUAUUAUUAUUUAUUUAUUUAUUUAUUAUUUUGCUUAGAAUAAGAGAAAGACUUCAAAUUGAAUUACAUUUUCCCAGUUUUAUUUUUAUGGUGUUGUUUCCCAAUAGUAAUCAAGAUGACAAAAGAUUUUUCAAUGUGCUCGGGAUACAAAGUGAUACACCAUGUCUCUAUACAAGUGGUGAGAUUCUUGUGUUAAAAAAUAAAAUUUCCUACCACUUAUAUAAUAACACGUGGUGUAGAAAGUUAAGAUUGUAGGUGGAGAAGAAGAGGAACCCGUAGAUGGGCGGAAAAUAGAAUAAAAUUAUGUAAUUGGUGUAGAAAGUUAAGAAAUUGAAGAGAUACAAAGAAAAUUAGAAGAAGAAAAUGUGUUUGGAAGGUUAGAAUGUUCCAAGAAAAUUCGAGGAGAGAGAAGAAUGUAGUACCGUUAAGUUUCAUAAAUAGUGUAAUACCGUUAAAUUUCAUAAAUAGUGUAGCACUAUUAAAUUUCAUAAACAGUGUAGUACCGUUAAGUUUCAUAGACAAUGUAGUAAGUUUUAUAAACAACAUCGUAAGUUUUCAUAAACAAUGUAGUAAGUUUCAUAAACAGUGUCGUAAGUUUCAUAAACAAUAGUACCGUUAAGUUUCAUAAACAGUGUAAAAAGUUUCAUAAACAGUUUGUGUGAGAACGUGUGGGUUCGCGCAUCAUUUUUUUAAAUAUUAAAAUUACGUCUUUUUCAUUAAAAUUUAAGUUUUUUGUCAUUUUUAUUAAAAUUUAAGGGGUUUUCAUUAAAAUUUAAGUGUUUUUAAUUAAAUAAAGUUAUUGCAUGAUUUUUUUUAUUAAAAUAAACUUAGCUCAAAUCCUUUUGAUGAAAAUUUUCAAAAAUAAUAUUACAUAUGUGCUACAUUUUCUAUACAUAUAAAACAGAGAGUGGGAGGUGUUCAGAGAAGGUAACAAUGGAGUAAAAUUACGAUUUGUUUUGGAAUGUUUUUCAAAAGGCUAAAAGUGUUUUUUAACACAAGGUUUUUUUACAUAAUUAAAAGAAAUUUUGACCAAUAAAAAGCUAACUAAAAGUGCUUUUGAAUUAAUUAUAUAUGUGUGUGUGUGUGUUAUAGGACACACUUACUUAGAGCCCACUCCAUAAAAUAUAUCAACUAUCUAACCAUCUAUUUUAUUGAUCUUUCUUCAAAGAUCAUCUCUGUAAAAAAAUCACUAAAAAAUGAAAGGAUAUGAUCGUCAAAUUUAGUGAUAGUUGUUUUAAUGUUUAUUCAUCUAUUUUCUUCACUAUAAAUGUUUUAAUGGUUUUUUUUUGUCUAAGUUUUUGCAAGGAGUCAAUGACGGUGUAUGAAUGAUAAACGGUUGGAUCAUUGAAAAAACAAUUAUGGAGUGAGCCCUAAGAAAGUGUGUCAACAUGUAUGCCAAAAAAUAUGCGUCCUUGAUCCAAUAUAUAUUGUUGUGUUUGUAAUUAAAUCAUUUCGAGCAUAAACGUUUACGAACAGACGUGAUGUUCUUCCAUAGACAAUCUCAAAAGGCCUUAGCAAACUACAGCAAAGUUACCAAAUGCAACUUAACUUCUUGAACAAAAGCCAAAAGGCUUUUAGGGUUAAUGGCUUCGUGACCUAAAUAAUUCUGCAUAUAGCUACACACCCAAACUAUGUUAGUUUUCAUAACUAGAGUAAGAAUAUCGAUCGUAUCUUUUAUCCUACAUUCAGUUUUGUAGUCCUAUUCUUCCACAUUUGUAGCAAAUAAGGGGUUUUCUUUUCCCAAAAGUCCUAACCCUUCAGCACAAACUUCAGAAGUUAUUUCUCCGUAGGUAAUACCUAUCAUCAGGUAUAACUCCACCAAAUUUACUCUUAAUUCUACUGCACACCUUUAAAAAAAAAAGAAAAAAAUAAGACAAUCCAGAAAGAAAUUUCUCUUUCCAAAAAUCAGCAUAGCAAUCUGGCCUAGUGAAUACCUUAGCAUAAAACGCAUAUUUGGACCAUCUAAAAUGAGACAAAGUUGGACACUUUAGAUUCAUCAGGAGUUCUCCAAAUCAGUCUUGUUGGAGCUCAAUAGUUCCAACAAAAUGGGGGAUAAUAGUAUAUAUUAGAGUGUUAACUGCAUCUUCUUGGUAUAUUGGUUCACCAUUAUAGUCUUCUGUCUCCUACUACACUUGUAGCUGCAAAUAUUUGUUCUUUUGCUUGAUCGCUAGAUGGAAAUCUCACCAUCCACAAAGUUGAUGUCACAUCCCGGUCCAGGCCCCCACCACAUCCCGGGCUCGACUUUUCCGUAGCACGAUAUUGUCCGUUUUGGGCCCCGACCACGUCCUCACGGUUUUGUUUAUGGGAACUCAUACAAGAACUUCCCAAUGGAUCAUCCAUCAUGGGAUUGCUCUCGCGCGAACUUGCUUAAGUUCGGAGUUCCGAUGGAACCCGAAGCCAGUGAGCUCCCAAAAGACCUCGUGCUAGGUAGAGAUGGGAAUAUAUAUAUAAGGCUUAGAGGAUCUACUCCCUUGGAUGAUGUGGGAUGUAACAGUUGACCUAUAAAUCUUGCAACUAUGGCCUGAGCAAUUCCUUUAUCACAAUUUCCAUUCAACUUACUCGCAUAUGAGAACUUCAUCAUAUGCCUCAUGGUAUUGACUAUUUGAUAUUCAGUAUGUCCAUCAUGUUCCAACAAUUGAUUUUCCAUCAUACUAGACUUUAUCAUCCAUGUCAUUUUCUUCAAAUUAUAAAUAUAUUGGUGAUGGCCUUAGAUAAGAAUUUUUUAUUAGAGUUGUUCUUUCAACUUUUCUACCAAAUUUUAUCCUAUAGUCCCGGUUUAGGCACUGUCUCAGUAGAUUGCUCUUCUAAAUUUGAGAGUUGGGUUUCAAACUUUCGACGAUCACCGAAUCUUUUAAGUUAGGAAGAUAUGAUGGUUUAAACAAAGCUUGGCCGUGUUUAUCUUCUUUUUUCUUCUUGUUAUCAAUGGAACUAGAAGUCGAACCCAUCCACCUUGGUUCCCUAGGCUCCCAUUUUUCAGAAUUAAGAGGAUCGCUAUCUUUUCAUGAAUUAUCAAAUUCUAGAUGUUUGCCUUCCAAAGGAUUGGAGAAAAAUGUUGGUGUAAUUAUUUUGUUGUAUAAGAGCAGAAACUCCAUCAUUUAAAAAAGUGGUAGUUGUUUGACUAUCCUGUUGUACAUUAGGUACUUCUUUAUAUGGAGUGGUUCCUUUUUGAUUCACUUAUUCUUUUCUGGCGGGUGGAUUGCCUCUUCUUCUUUUCCCUCUUUAGUGACAUAAGUUUUGAAGGCAUUUUCAACAACACUUGUACGCAUAUUCAAGGACUUCCAUUUCAUAAAUUGAAAAUGAGCUUUUAUGAAGGAAUGCGUGUUUUCCACAACUAUAAGUUUUCUUAAACCAUUCUCUUUUUAGUGUUCUUCACACUAUAAUCUAUUUAAUGAUUUUUUUUUUAUCAAUUUCAAACUUAGGUAUGACACAGACGUUAAAUUCAACAUCUGACCAUGAUGGUUUGGGUUAAGGGGGGUUUCUUAACGGAGCAAUACUUUCUAAGGAUUCUACCUUAUAACGGGAUUUGAACUUCUGCACGAGUUUGCCUAAGACCUUCAAGAACAAUUCUCUCAUGAUCUUGCUCAUAAGAGUUUGACCUUGUUGUUCGCCUUCUAAACGCAUUUGUUCGAAAAGAGGGGUCAUGGCGCGUUUAAAGAAUCAACGUUUAAUUGAGAAACCAACGCUUAAUCUAGCCAUCCUAUCCGUAGAAAAUUGUGCUUCAACGUCUCUAUCUUCGUAUUGAUUUAUAUGGCUAGGUUCUCUUUUUGGAAUUGGUUGAGGUGGAGCUGCAUCUUGCAAUCUCUAUCUUUUAGGUAGAGUAACUUCAUUCCACUUUAUCAUUUUAGGAUUGUAUCAACUAGUGCUAAAUUAUUUUGAAUGAGAAGAAAGCGAAUGUGAAAUAGCAGUUCUUGAAGAUGAGAGAAAAGUUGGUUACACUGUUCAUAUUUUGUUUGUUGCUUUUUCACUUGAAAGGGAAAUUAUUAGGUAGAUGGGAUAAUUUAACCACAAGUUAUUAACUAAUUUUCCUCUGGACCAUCCAAUUUCUUCUGAGAUCUAAUGCAGUGGUGAUUUGGGAUAUCAAUAUUUACCCACAGAAAAGUCUAGGGUUUAUAAGAAGAGAGGGAAUAUGUUGAAAGCAAAGGCAUAACUAUAAAACCUGAGAGUGACUGAAAAAGAUGUGGCAUCUCUCUCUCUCUCUCUCUCUCUCUCUCUCUCUCUCUCUCUCUCUCUCUAUACAAAACUAAUGCAAUAGAAUUAGAAUGGGUUAAAUGACUUAGCUUGCAAAAAUGACACACUGCAAUUUGGUCAUCCUUUAGCUUAAGUUUAAGGAUCAUUAAUUGAUGUCAUCAACCACUUUGUUUUUUGCUUGAAUGCUGUUUUCAUGGAGGUUAGCUAGCUCAUUCCUAUUUGUAUGUAUUUACCACAUAUAGAGGAUUGUGCAACUAUAUAAUCAUUAUACAUUAUUAUUAAUUGACCAUUAUGAAACUUAUUUUGCUCCACAAAUAGAGUAGAAUUAGAUACUAUUACUAACUAAUUAUUUUGUGCAGUUGCAUGAAUAACUAUGGGAGGUUUUGUUUAGUAGAAUUAAAGGCAUCGGGUGCAAAUGAAGGAUCCUUUACGCCAAUUUAUCAUGUUUGAAAAAAGGUACAAUAUUCAUUGCAAACGAAAAUAAUACGUACAUUAUUGAAGAUAUGAUGCAUAUAAUGGACCUCAAUAAAAAUCUUAACGAGAAUUUCAACCCAAUCAAAGAGAAAAUGAGUGUUCUGCCCUAAUAAAAUACUAAGAAUUAUUAUCUUCAAAGAGGUGGUCUAGAAUAGUAGAAGUAAACCCCAUAAGUAAAACUAACAAAAUUGAAACCACAAAUUCUAAAGCAACAAUGAGUAAUCAUACCAUACAAAUUUCGACGAGCAACUAAUAUCGUUGUAUAAAAAAAAAAAAACCAAUUUCGAAAAUUUUGGCCUUGAACAAAAUCCCAUAAAUCUCACAUGUGGAGAAAAUUGUACUCAUAAAAAUCAAUAAAAAAUAAAAAGUCUAAAACGUAAUUAAAUGAACAUAAACACAUAACGUUAACGUCCCUCCAAAGUUUCUCAGAAAAAUAUUUCCCAAACCCGGAAAAGAAAAAGCCCCACCUCCUCAACUCUCUCAUUUUUCUCCCGGACGCACACUCACUCCACCAUACUCUCUCAUACACUCCCAAAUCUCACCUCUCCCCUUACCUACUCUCUCUCUCUCUCUCUUUCUCAACCCACAACUCAGAGAUAGCAAGGCUCACUGCUUUUCCUCUCAGAAUUUACCCUUCUCCUGCAACUUUAUAAAUCUGCAUUGCUAUAUUUGGGGAAUUUACAUGGUGGGUUCGCAAAAAUUCAUUCUCUGAGAGGCAAUGUGAGGAGGAUUUGAACUGUCCCUAUGAUGGUGGUUGCCAUUUCCGAAGCAGCUUUGACAGACCCGCCGCCGAACCCCAAAACCUCAUCGAACCACCGCUCACGGCCCCAUCUCCAAAACCCAUCAAGGCCUCCUCUCUUACCUUCCGAGAAAGACAAUGGCUUCGUUCAGAGGCGACCCAGAGGCCGCCAAGUCUCGUCGAAAUACAUGUCUCCUUCGCCUUCUUCUUCUUCGACCUCGACCUCCACUUCUACGGUCUCGUCCUCUGCGUCUUCCAGAAGAUGCCAAUCUCCGUUGCUCUCAAGGUCCAUAAACUCGGCUUCGAACUCGACCCCCGUUCCGGCUCAGAAACGGGCUCAAUCGGCGGACCGGCGGCGACCCAUUACUCCUCGGACCUCCGCCGGCCUCCCCGAGGCUCGGGUGAGCAAUGCCGGUUCCGAAGUCUCUGCUGCAACUCGGCUUUUGGUCACUUCCACUCGGAGCUUGUCGGUUUCGUUCCAAGGUGAGGCCUUUUCGCUUCCGAUUAGCAAGACUAAGACUCCAGCCUCGCCGAGUGGGACUGCCGCGAGGAAGGCCACGCCUGAGAGACGCCGGUCGACCCCUGUGAGAGGAGAUCAAGCUGAGAAUUCUAAGCCGUCUGAUCAGCACCGGUGGCCGGCCAGGACUAGACAGUUGAGCUCGGGUGGGACUAAUAACUUGUCCAGGAGCAUGGACUGCAGUUCGGACAACAGGAAGCUCAGUGGGAUUGGAUCUGGGAUUGUGGGUCGAGCACUGCAGCAAUCCAUGAUUGAUGAGAGCAGAAGAGCGUCUUUCGAUGGUAGAUUGAGCUUGGAUUUGGGGAAUGCUGAGCUUUUGAAGGAUGCUAGGCAAAACCCAGAUGCUAAUUCUGCCCAUGAAUCCUCUGUGCCGUCUGAUCUCACUGCUUCUGAUACAGACAGUGUUUCUUCUGGUAGCACUUCAGGUGUGCAGGAUGCUGGUGGUGCCGAAAAGGGUCGAACCUUACCCCGUGGCAUUGCGGUGUCAGCAAGGUUUUGGCAGGAGACUAAUAGCCGGUUGAGGCGGUUGCAGGGUCCUGGUUCGCCUUUAUCAACAAGCCCUGUGUCUAGAGCAGGGGCAAAAUUCGUUCAAUCUCAAUCGAAAAGGCUUAAUGGUGAUGUCCCAUUAUCAUCAUCUCCCCGGACAAUGGCUUCCCCCACUAGGGGACCAACUAGGCCUGCUUCGCCGGGUAAGCUUUGGACUUCUUCAUCAAUGUCACCAUCAAGGGGUUAUAGUCCUUCUCGUAGAAGUAGUGUUGAAAGUACCUUGAAUAGGAGUUAUUCUGGUCCUGCACCUUCAAUCCUUAGUUUUUCUGUUGAUACUCGGAGAGGGAAGAUGGGGGAAGAUAGGAUUGUUGAUGCACACAUGCUCAGGCUUCUGUAUAACCGUUAUCUGCAAUGGCGGUUUGUAAAUGCAAGAUCAGAUGCUACCUUCAUGGUGCAGAGACGAAAUGCCGAGGUAUGAUCUCAGUGCUAUAAAUUGCAUUGCUUUCUAUCUUUUUAUUUCAGUAGUGUUUGUCCAUGAAUUUGUUUUUUUGUUGGAUGGUCAUAUGACUCCUAUAUAUUGUUAUCCAUGUAUGCUUCACCUCGUUAUGUACUAAUAUCCAUUUCUAUCUAAGUAGCACGGUUGAUGUUUGUGGUCUAUGUAUUCCAUAUUAGAAUGUGAGCAUCCAAUUAAAAACCAAUUGGCAACUAUCUACUUAGUAUGGUUGAUGUUUGUGGUCUAUGUAUUCCAUAUUAGAAUGUGAAAGCAUCCAACCCAAACCAACUGGGAAUAGGAGGGAGAGGCUUAAGUCAUUAAACUUUAGGCAAGGCUUUAAUUCCCCCAUGUGAAAUUCACACUCUCAAGCACACCCCCACAAGUGUGGGGUCUUCAAGUCUAGGACGUGGACAACACAUAUUAGGUGACGUGGGCUGUUUGGCUUAACAUAUGGUACCCUGGUUUGGUACCAGAUUAGAAUGUGAGCAUUUAACCCAAAGCCAAUUGGCAUUAGGAGAGAAAUGCCCAGAUCAUUUAAACUGUUUGGCAAGGGUUUGAUUCCCCAAUGUGGUAUUUACACUCUCAACAUUGUAUAUACACACUCUCAACAUUGUAUAUACUUCUGACUAGUGUUUCGUUUCCCUAAUAAUUACAAUGAGAAGGCUAACUUCUCUUUCAGCUUAAUUAUUUUGUGGCAGGUUCCUUUUGGUUUUUUUUUUUUUUUUUUUCCUUUUUCUUCUUGAAGAGGACGUCUCUUUGUUCAGCUUGAGCGUGCCAUUAUAUUAGUUCAUUUCUGAGCUUUAAUUAAGCAUGGGAGAUACAAAUAAAAGGAUAUGUAAUAUUAAUACAGAUGGAGUCUGGGUAACUGUUGACCCUAGAAAUUACAAAGCCUACGUGGCGCGCAGGCCGAAUAUAUUCUAAGCUAACUACGUCCUUCGGUGAUUGCGGGGCGUGCCAACUCGUCGGCCGAGGCUCGGCCGAGGAGUAAAUUUGAUGAUGCUGCGUUGGGUCGCGCUACUGACUUCUGCGUCUUGCGAUUGCGGCCGAGAAAGGAACGCGUCUCGGCCUCUUGGGUUCUCGAGCCUGAAGACAAGGCUGCUAUUUCUUACAAAGUUCACGAACCGAAUUCGGCUUACAAUGUGCCGAAUGUAAUAACUGUAACACCUCACCUCGCCGAGAAGGCUAAUGAGAUGACCUCGACCAACAAGGAUUCGAAAACCCUUCUCGACCGAGACUUGGAUAGGCAAUCGACCGUUCUCGCCGCAGUGCUGUUGAUGCCAACGGAAGAUACUGCGAGACCGACCGACUCUACGGUGACAGAGCUAUCUAUGCCGACUUAAGAUAUCACCGGUUGCUUCCACAGUGCUGUUGAUGCCAACGGAAGAUGUGUCAGCGAAAAAAGAAAAGAAAAAGAUCUCAAGUUGUGAGAGUUUGCGCAGGGCAAUUUUGUAUUGAUGUUUGUGGGGCUUCUUCCAUUGCUGAAUGUCUUGUAUUUUAUAGAAGCAGAACACCGAGCCCGAGUUCUAAUCCUAUUCGAACUAGGUUUCCUUCUCCGGAUUAAUGUUACCUCAAUCAGUCCUACCUCUGCUAGGACUACGAAUCUAGUCCUUAACUGAGCCGGAUUCGCCUUCUAGUUUUACCGAUCUCGUCGAGGGUCCCUAUUGUAUUAGGACUCGACUUGCACUCUGAUUUAACCGAUCUAGGCCUAGAAGCCCAUGAGCUGAAGCCCCCAUGACUUUCUCGCCGUAGUCUUCCCGGGCCGAAAGUGAUACCUCCCUCGGCCCCAAACUGCUAUUUUUGGGCCCAAACAUUGCCCCCUCGCUUUUGAGGUCCUCGGCCUGAACCCUUCGGCCGAGUUUCGGCCUUGAAGAAGCGAAUCUACCACUCAGGAUCCCAAUACCCGAGUUCCAAGGCGUAUUUAUUGAACAUGUUCGCACGAUCUUGAUCCUGCUAAACCACUCGCCACGUGGCAUCCCCUAACAUGGCCAAUCCCCGAUAAUGACGUCUGAAGCGUGCGCCUGCCCGAACCGUCUCGUCAUUAUGACCACUAUCUCAAUCCGCGAGCCAUUUCAUCAGUCCGUAAGCCCACCUGUCAUCGUGCAGGCGUCGAACCGUCUUUCGUCAUUAACUUCGCCGUCACACGCGAUCGUGCGCCCCCAAAACCUAAAACCGUCGGUCUUCUCAACCGCAUUCCCCAAAUGCUCAUCAUGAUCAACGAUUCCCCCGGUCGAUUUUGCCCUUUGUUUUGAAUUUCGAACGAUUGCUCUUCCUCCCAUUACUCUAUAUAAAAUACCGAAAUUUUCCUCAUUUGUUCUUUACGUUCUCAAACUUCCUGAAAUCCCCUACUCUUGCUCUCAAGUGCAUUCCUCCAUUCCAAGCUUUCGUCCUCAAAUCCCCAACCCGAAAAACCUCCUUACGCUGUGCUUUUUACAAUGGCCUCCUUCAUCUCCAAGCUUUCCCGGGAAUGCGACCAGCAUCAGAAGAUCCUUGAUCGGAGCUCGAUCAAGAAUAUACGGUUCGAGAACGACAUGAGCACCGUCCACCAAAUCCUGGGUCCUCUCUUCAAGGCAACAAUCCCGCCGACCAUCACUGGUCUUCUCCAGGAACACUGCCUUACACCCUUGCUCCAAGGGUUUGAAUGGUCGAGAUGGGAGGCGGCAAAGCCCCAAGGCUCCUGGCCCUCGACGACCACCACCUGGGCGACCUGGGUUGUCCGAAUGGAACGGCUCUUCGGCGAAAAAUGGAAAAUCCUGGGCAUCUACGACGCCAUCCUCCUUUCGUCGAUGGACAUUGUCCCUGACAAGGAGCUGCUCCUAGCCGCUUUAUGCUUCUGGUGCUCAGCCACCAACACAAUGGUCCUUCCCCUUGGUCCCAUUGGUCCCACCAUCCUGGACAUCACCGCCAUUUUGGGGACCUCGGCCACCGGGAUCCCUAUCGACGCGACCCUCUCCGGGAACCCGUCGAAUAUCGAUCUGAAGACGCUCUUCGACCGUCGAGCCUUCGAGACCCUGAAUAGUGACGGUCACAUCCCGUCGAGGGAUGAAAUACAGAAGCUCCACAAGAACUUUCUCAACUACAACACCCUCUACCUUCACUUCGCCGGUCGAGGGGAAGAGGACCUGCGAGAAGGAGAGCAUGAAGCCUUCCUCUUCUACUGGUACAAUAAAUACAUUUGUUGUACCAAAUCAAACAAAUGUUUGGUCGAGAAUAUGCCAGUGGCUGAAGCUCUGGCCAGUGGUCGCGUCCUGGCGCUGAGUUCUAAUAUUCUUGCCCACCUCUUCCGCUGCCUGGCCGAGGCGACUCUCCACACGGUGGACCCCCAUCAGAAUGGCCCUCUCUGGGUCUUCCAGCUCUGGUUGCAGGUAUACUUUGCCUCCCUUCGGCCGGCUAUAGCUGAUUUUUCAGCAACAGAGGCUCUUGGUCCUCAGCUAGCCUCCCGACCAACGCCUCCUCAUCAGGCCGAAGAGGUGUUUUAGGUACCUCUUUGCCCUUGACGAUCUCACAAGCGACGAAUUCCUGAUUUGCCGUCGUCGUGAUUACCCCCCCUCCAUCAAACUGCCUACCUCUACGUGGGCGGCAGAUGAGGACGCCGCUCUUCGCCGAACCUGGGGGUCGUUCGUGCUUGCUCGCGACCUUCCUCUCGGCUGCGACGGGAAACGGUCGGGGUGGGAAGUGUACCAUCCGAACUUCCUUGCCCGUCAGCUCGGCUAUCUUCAGGGCUGUCCCGUCCCCCUUCUCUCUUCCCGCACAGUAUUGAGCCGCGGACGCGAGCCUCGCUCUUCAGAGAACGAGUGCAGGACUGCUGCGAAGGAGUUUCAAGAGUACUGCCAAAGAUUUCGCCUUCGACCGGCCACCCCAGAAACCCAUUGCACUGACACCUUCGGUGAGUGGUGGGAAAAUUACACUCAAGAGUUCUUCGGUGCGCCGGUCGAGGAUGUACUAAACAGGCUCUUCGGUAACCGACCUAAGAAAGCCCCGGCCCCCCAUUCUCAAGGUAGUUGUUCAAUUCCCCCUUUUUCUUCAACCUUGCCUGUUGUACGCCUUACUGAAUUGUCUUUAUCCUUUUAGGUAGUCGGCCUUUGAGAAAGACAGAGGUAGUUGCCGCUGCUAUGGCCGGGAAAAAAUCGGUCGUGGCCAAAAAGGACAAACCUGCUGGUAGGGCCGGGCUGACCAAACGGCCUCGCCAAGAGGCCGGGCCGGCUAUCAAGCCUUCCCCGCCUGCCAAGCGGGUAAAGCAACUGGCGAAGAAAGGUGCACGGGAGAUCCACGUUAUUUCCAGCCACACGACGACUCCCAGUGCUUCCCCUUCUCCCGCCGCCGGCCAUUCUGGGGUCAAGAAACAGCCGGCUUCAGCCGUAGAGACGAUCCCAGCGCGGCCUGCUUCUGUGGCCGGCGAAUCAGUCGUACCUACCUCUGUCGAGAAGGCACCUGUCUCACACCAGGCGGUCCCAAGAAUCCAAAGCCCACGGUCUUCGUGCUGGAAGAGAGUGAGGGGAGCGACGAGGUCCCGCUGGCGCGUCGUCCUCCUACUCGUCAACGAACUCCUCCAGUAUCCGAGAUGGCGGUUCGACACGGCCCCUCCUCGGCUAAUCGUGGCAAGCACACGGUCGAGGAACCGACCCCGGCGGCCGAACCUCUCGUUCCUUCUCGAGACCAGGACGUCCCUGCCUCCACUGAAGCAGCUGCGCCAAUCGGCCCAUCGGCAGCCGACCGUGGCAAACGCCUGCUCGAGGAACCCGAAGCCACGGCGGAAUCGCCGAUCCAUCCUCAAGACCAGGGCUUCCACAUCCCUCACAAAGAGGUUACCUCGGCUUUUGUAAGUACCUUCGAUUUUCCUCCUGAUUGCUUUUCUGCUUUAGAAUUCUAAACAAGGAAAAACUAAAUGUCAGGUGCCUGUACAUUCUUUUCACCGUCAAUUCUAUGCGCCGAAGGGCGUUAUCUAUAUUUCCUGGCCGCCUCAGUGGCCAUCAAACGUAGAUAACCUCCAUCGGCCUCGUGAAGUGAGAAGCAAUCUGAGACACUGGGCUCGGCCAUUGAGUUCUUUAGGUUCGAGCAACGACCCUGGGGACAUGGCCGAGGUCUCCUCUCAGCAGGUUAAAAAAAAAACGACACCCUCUUGCUAUUCUCGUCAUGACUUCCUUUAAGCUUAACCUUGUUUAUUCGUGCAGGCUUCAUGGGAGGUUGAAUUCAAAGCUCUCCUCUCCAGUACGACUGCAGAGUCUGGUCCUUCGGCCGCUCCAACUGAGGCUGCCGAUCCAAGCGCCCUAACCCAGUUGCGAGAAGUCCUGUCGCUCUCUUCAUCGCAAGUACUUGAGCGCAACGGUCUUGAUCUGCUCGGCGUGUGUCUGAACGACCUUGGGGCCGACGGUCGCCUAAGCGGAGAUGCCAUUGUUCGGGCAUCGUCUGCUCUGGAGCGCGUUCGGGAGACAUUUGGCAUCUUCCAGACUGCUCUGAAGGCCGAACAGGACCUGCAAGCCGCCACGGCCGUUCAAGACACCCUCCGUCCGAAGAUUGACGAUCUACGGGCCAAAGGAGAAGCGUUAGCCGAACUCGACCGUCAGAUGGCCGAACUAGCAAAACGCCGGUCGGUCAUUGCUUCUGAACUUGCGAGGGACUUCGAGUCAGGCGGGAAGGAUCGCCUAACUGAGUAUGCGGCGGCCAAAAAACGGGUCGAGCGCCUGAGGCUAGACAAAAAGAAUCGACAAGCCGAAGUCAUCAUGGCCGACGUGCGGUGGUUGGAAUUGAAAGCUCUGCUCAGCACUCUUCUUCCCUCGUCUCCUUGAAUGUAUUUAGACCUACUCAUUUUUGUAAUACCUGUCAAUUUUAAUGGAAUGACUUUUCCUACAACAAACUUUUUAUUCACGCAUUUCCCAUGUGACCGGAUAGUAUUUCUUCAAGAACUUCCCAUUAAUUGGUAAUUUGUGAACUACUCCAGUCCGGUCUUUAAGAUGAUACGCCCCUUUACCGUAUACCUUAUGCACAAUGAACGGCCCUUCCCAAUUCGGCGACCACUUGCCGAACCUAGGAUCUUUUAUUCCUACGGGCAACACCGUUUGCCACACCAAUUCACCCUCGCCGAACGUUUUCUGUCGUACCCUUUGGUUAUAGGCUCGCUCGGCAAUCUGUUUCUGUGCCACCAGUAAGUUAUAAGCGUCAAGUCGCGCUUCUUCCAAAUCUUCUAGUUCCUGUCUCAUGGACUGAUUAUAUUCGGCGCUAAACAAACUACUUUGUUCAAUUAAUCGCAACGAAUUUAUGCUCAACUCGACUGGUAGCACCGCAUCGUGUCCAUAAGUCAAUGCGUACGGGGUUGUUGCAGUUGCCGAUCGGGACGACGUUCGGUAUGCCCAUAAUGCCUCGUUCAACUUCAAAUGCCACAUGCCAGGCCUCUCUUUUAUUAUUUUUUCGAGGAUGCCAAUCAACACUUUAUUACUUGCCUCGGCCUGCCCAUUCGCCUGUGGAUAAUACGGUGUGGACUGUUCCAGCCGAAUUUUCAAAUUGGCCGUGUAUUCCUUAAACCUUUCGGCUGUGAAGAUUGUUCCAUUGUCGGUUAUGAUCGUUUCUGGCACACCGAACCGGGUCACAAUGUGUUCCUCCACGAAAUCGCAAACUUCUUUAGACGUUAAUUCGGCAUAUGAUUUUGCUUCGACCCACUUAGUAAAGUAAUCAGUUGCGACUAUUAUCCAUGCAUGCUUAGCAGCUCCAGAAGUCGGCGUGAUUUUGCCGAUUACGUCCAUGGCCCAUCCUCUAAACGGCCACGGCUUAAUGACCGAAUGUAGCGAUUCGGCCGGGACCCUUUGUAUAGGCCCAUGGAUUUGGCACUGCACGCAUCCUCGUGCAAACUCGAUACAAUCUUUCAGUAUUCUCGGCCAAAAAUAACCAUGUCGUCGGAGUAGCCAUCGCAUUUCCGUCCAGACUGGUGAGCUCCGCAUACCCCUUCAUGAACCUCUGCGAUCGCUCGAGCACUCUCUUGAGGGCCGAGGCAUAGCAAUAACAAACCAUCUUCACCCUUUCGGUACAACUCGCUCUGGUACGUGACAUAGUUCGUGGCGUGAGCCCGUGUCCUGCGACUGUGUUUUCCGUUAGGAUUAUCAAGGUACUGCAUAAUGGGCUUUCUCCAAUCAUCUGGUACUGCCUCGGCCGCGCAAAUUUCUAUAGAGUCCUGGUCCUGCCGAUCCACCAACGAAGGCAAGGACAUGACCCUGGUGCGUAUCACAUUGUCUCGACGGAGGAUUUGCUGAUCAACCAAGGCCGGGUAUAAUUGUUGUAAUAUUGGUAUCUCCCGGCCUAGCUUGCCCCCCAGGAGUUGUGCACCGGAGGCGAUUUGAGCCAACUCGUCUGCGUCGGUAUUAUGAACCCGAGAAAUAUGCUCGAAUGUAAUGCCGUCAAAGGACUCGGCCAAAUAGCUGGCGAUCAUGUGGUAAGGCGCCAGAGUACAACUUAUGCAGCGAAAAGACCCAUUAAUUUGGUUAAUUACUAAUUCAGAAUCCCCGCGGACGAGGACACGAGUGGCAUGUAGGUCAAGAAGGAGGCCUAGACCAAUGACCAGAGCCUCGUACUCGGCCUGAUUAUUGGUACAGUCAAAUCCAAUUUGAGCGAAAAAAACCAACGAUCGUUGUGAGGAGACUGAAUGACGAUGCCUGCACCGGCCGAGGACGAAGUACUGGAACCAUCGAAAUACAUCGUCCAAUAGUUGUCGCGGGUCACCACCAUGCCAAUCUCAACAUCAGCACCCCCGAAAUCAUAAGGCGAAGGGUGCUGGGCAAGGAAAUCGGCCAACGCCUGUCCCUUCACAGCUUUUUGCGGCACGUAUUGCAAACUAAACUCGGACAAUGCCAUCGUCCAUUUCCCAAUUCGGCCCUUCACAAUUGGCCGGGUAAGCAUGUACCGGAUAACGUCGGUCUGGGCAAUGACUUGGGUGACCGACGGGAGCAUGUAAUGCCUAAGCUUGGAUGCAGCGAAGAACACAGCGAGACAGAGCUUCUCAACGGCGGAAUAAUUGAUCUCCGGAGGACUCAGAUUACGGCUGAGGUAGAAGAUAGCCUGUUCCCGGCCGGCAUCAUUGUCUUGCGCGAGGAGGCAACCGAUGGACUCGGCGGCCGCCGAGAUGUACAGCUUGAGAGGCUUACCGCGCCGAGGAGGGACCAGGACAGGUGGGUUUGUAAGGGAAACCUUGAUCUGUGUGAACGCCGCCUGGUGCUCCUCAUUCCACAUGAACUUAUCAGAGUCCUUAAGCUUCAAAAGUGUGGAAAAGGCUUUCAUUUUACCUGCCGAAUUAGCAAUAAAUCGGCGUAAAAAAUUGAUCUGGCCGAGUAAGGACUGUAAUUGUUUCUUCGUUGUUGGGGGUGGGGCGGUGAUGAUUGCGCGUGCCUUGUUCUCAUCGACUUCAAUCCCACGAUGAUGUACGAGGAAACCAAGAAAAUUCCCGGCCGAUACACCGAAGGCACACUUGGCAGGAUUCAUCUUGAGGUUGUGCUGACGCAUACGGAGAAAAGCCUGUCGGAGAUCGUCCAGAUGUGUCUGUCGGCGUUUAGAUUUGACGACAACAUCGUCGAUAUAAACUUCGACGAUGGUGCCAAUUAAAUCAUGGAAGAUGGUGUUCAUCGCCCGCUGGUACGUGGCGCCGGCAUUCUUGAGGCCGAAUGGCAUGACAACCCAUUCGUAAGUGCCGAGUGCCCCCGGGCACCGGAAAGCAGUUUUGUGCACAUCGGCUUCGGCAAUAAAUAUUUGGUUAUAGCCGGCAUGUCCAUCCAGAAAAGAUAAGAUCGCAUGAUUCGCCGCGGCAUCGAUUAACAGAUCUGAAAUCGGCAUUUGUAUACUCAUCUUUGGGCGUUGCCAGAUUCAGAUUGCGAAAAUCGGUACAGAUGCGCAGUGCACCACUUUUCUUUAAUACAGGAACAAUAUUCGCCAACCAUUCGACAUAUCGAGCUGUCCGAAUGAACCCGGCUUUCAAAAGCCGAACUAAUUCGUCCUUAACACUGAGUUGUACUUCGGUCGAGAAUCGACGAGGUGGCUGACGGAAAGGCUUGAAUCCGGGCUUAAUACGUAAUUCAUGCUCGACCAAAGCACGAUCUAAGCCGGGCAUUUCAUGAUAACUCCAAGCAAAACAAUCUUUGAAUUCCGUAAGCAAAGCCCGCAACUCGUCCUUCAUUUGUUGAGGAAGUAACGCACUAAUAAAAACAAAAGUCGUGGGUCAUCGGCCGUCCCAACAUUAAUUUCUUCCAAAGGGUCCUUGACAAGGGGCCGAUGAUCUUCGAGCUUGGCCGGGGCGGCUCGAAUUUUAUCAAAAAGAUAAUACAGGCCCAUUAUCUCCCUCAGCAAGGAACUCGACGAGGUUGACACACCCGAAUUUGGUUGUUUGGAUAUCGUAUACCAAUGGGCCAGCAGUCGUUCCAUAGUAGAUGAAACCGCGGCCCUACGUGCUUCCCGAUCGGCGUCAAACAUCGGGUUCGGGGAGAAAGUUAGCUAAUCCGAGUCUCGCCGAAUCCUGCUGGACAGUCUCGGCGCCAACCUCGAUAGCUUUCUGAACGGAAAUCCGAGUCGGCCGUCCUUCUUCAUUGAAGCCUUGCAACGUAAUAUAGCCGACGUGAUCGUCAUAAUACCGUGCUUGAAUCAUGUUGGUUUCGAAGGGCUGGCUAUCGGCCGGAUGAACAGUGACCGAUUUGCCGUCCCAAAAGACAAGCACUUGGUACAAUGAGGAAGGAAUACAACUGGUUUGAUGAAUCCAAUCUCGGCCGAGCAAUGCAUUAUACUCGGUUUUGGAAUCAACCACAAAAAAGGCGGUCAUAUGGGUGCGACCGGCAAUAUUCACAGUUAACGGAAGCACACCUUUGGUGUGGGACUUGUCGCCGACAAAACUGCUCAUUGUGAUCCCUGACGGAAUAAGUUCGUCAUUGGAACGGCGUAAGGCCUUCAUGAUGUUCAGGGGCAUGAUAUUGACAGUAGCUCCACAAUCGACAAAAACCUUAGAAACCGGAUAUCCCUCGAUGUGUGCCGUUACAUACAAUGGCUUUAAAUGGUGAAGCUUGGCCGAUGAUAAACGAGGGAACAAUUCGGCCAAAAGCGGCCUUUAGGCUAUCAUUUCUUGCUGUUGACUCGCCUUCAGCAAUCGAUAUAAAAUCAACAUGACCAGGUUCCUCGACAACCACAUCUCCAUCGAGAAAAUUUGGUUGAGCCGUGCUUGAUUGAAAAUCGGCAGGUAAUACAUGAACCAUACUAAUUUCCAUAUUAUCCAGGACGGACGGGCCCAUCUGGUCGAGACCCUCCUCGUUCGGUUGGUUAGCGACUACGGAUUUGGUUGUCGUCAGAGUCGGACAACGAGAUUCUUCCGUCCCUUCAACAAUGUCACCCGGCGGAGCUGCUUCGGCCACUUGUUGGCUCCGCAUGACCGCCUCAGGUAAGGUCGAGAUUGACAAUGAGCUUGGGGUCAAGUCCUGAACCUGCUCCUGGUAGUGUAGCCGAGCAUCCCUAGUGUCGAGAUAAGCAUCAAGACGGGCAAUACGGGCGAUUUCAUCGGUCGUAAGGCCGAAGAGAGAAACUGCUGAAAAUACUUCAAAGUGAUAUCGUAAAUACUGAAGGUCCUCUAGCGAGAAAGGAAGGUCAGCGACAUCGAUAUCGGUAUACGGGUCAACUUCAAAUCCAAAGACACGAGCUUCUCGUAUGUGCUGGAACCUUGCUUUCAAUCCUGGAUCUGAGGUCUUCUGGAUGAUCCGCUCAGCAUCCGGACAAGCCAAGACAAGAUCAAUGGUGUCCUGACAUGCCUUCGGCAAACCAUACAAAUCGUUGGCCGAAUGUUCCUUAUGAAAUUCUCGCAUAUAUUCCAAAGACUCCCCAAGGAACGGGGGGUGCAAAUUCCGUCGAAUUUUGACCAAAGGCUCUUGGAUAGCUAUCGGGGAUAAUUUACUUUCGGCCUUUUGCCUGAAAUGUUCAACACGUGCCUUCAUUUCCCCUGGUCGAAUGAGAAGUUUGAUCCGCUUAUCGGCUUCUUCAAACAUGGUCUCGACGUCUUGACCGACCAGCCGUUUUCCCUGAGCCAACUCUGUCAUAAUUGGUGGAGGUGGUCGCUUUUCACGAGUGGCAACUGUAUCCUUCGGUCGCCACUUAGGGGCCGAAGUUUCUUGGGCUGCUUGUCGGCGAGCCAUGCAAUCCAUCCGUUGAUGCCGGCGUUUCUGAGAUUUGGACAACGCGGUAUAGACGCCCCUCGAAGAAUGGUACGUAUACCAACGUUGAUCUCUAGGCUCAGGAGGCUUGAAGGUCUUUUGACUCCGUGAUGAUCCUGAACUGCUAGAAUUACGCUUAUAGUAAUCAUCGUCAUAAAAUGAAGCAUCAAAAUCGAGGCGCCGCCUGACCGGGGGUGUCUCUUCCAUCCGUACUUUAGGACCGAGCCUCCCAAAAACCCCAUGAUGUUGGUCUUCAUUGGCUACCUUUUGCCGAGUUACGGCCACGGGUUGCGAAGAAGGUUUCUCUUCUGGUUCACUGUCGACCUUCGCUUUACAUUUCCUGCACAGAACCGCUGUCCCACUAUCUUCAUCAGCGCUAUACUCCGUCAAAGAUUUGACAAUAGCGGGCCCCAUUAAGGCCGUAGAUAGUUAUUUGAACGCGAAUCGGCCAUGAACCGUGGCCGAACAUUCUGACUCCGCGGGCGUUGUGUCUCACCCACUUCAGCCUUGCCUUUCCCUUUGUCCUUGGGUAGGUACGCGUCGACCAUACUUACUGUUGCCGUGGGGAACGGAUCAGUAUCAACACUCAUCCUCUUCUCGGGGAACUUCAGUUUGCCAUUAUCAAUCCAGCUUUGGACGUUAUCACGAAAUACGACGCAAUUGUUUGUCGUGUGUUUGCUCGAAUUGUGGUAUUUGCAAUACACCUUUCCUUUAAGCUCCUCGGCCUUAGGAAUGUUAUGACCAGGCCGAAGCUUAAUGAUUCUUGCUGAUAACAGUUGGUCAAAAAUUGCGUCAGCCUUGGUAAUAUCAAAAGUAUAAACCUUUGACGGUUUCGAUGUUCCUUCAGUGGCCGAGCGACUUUUGGCUUCUCUAGAAUCAACCUGAGUUAAUGCCUUGCAAAUGUAUGGUUUAUUUAUUACUAUCUCAGCCGCAUCCACACUAACACAUUCAUCCUCGGUUGAUGCAUAAUUGACAGUAGGGUUCUUGUAAAUCGUUCCCCGAGUUGGAGUCUUCGAAGUCUUUUCCUCGCGGAGCAAAUAAUCGUACUGCUCGACAUGCUGGGCCAAUUCGUACAUGUCCUCGAAAAUUUGCCCCCAAGAAUUUCUUUUUGUAUUCGACGUCAAGACCAUUCAAAGCAAGUCUGACAAAUUCGACUUCGGGUAAAGGCACUCGGCACCAAUUCCUAGCCGAUUUAAACCUAGUAAGAUAAUCCAUUGGUGACUCAUCAGACGCUUGAGCCAUCCGUGCUAAUGAAGAAACUGACAUCUCCAUCCCCGGCCGAUAAAAUUGCUCGUGGAACUUCUCGACCAACUCCUCCCAGUUUUGGACGGAAUUAGGCGGGAGAUUGAUGUACCAGGCAAAUGCCGAGCCGGUCAAUGAAAAAUUGAACAGCCGUAACUUGUGGAAAUCACUAUUCACAUCUCCACAUUGCGCGGUGAAACGAGCCACGUGCUCCAACGAAGACAGGGACGAUUCACCAGCAAAAAGACUAAAAUCUGGGAUCUUGAAGCCCUUCGGGUAUCCAAACGUCUCAACGUAAGCUGGGUAUGGAUGAAUAAACUUGGGAAACUUCGGCCCUUUCUUCAUAGCGGAGUCGAUCAUCCGCUGAACUUCGGUCAUAUCAACAGAUGCUGCCUCGACCCUUUGGUCGGUCCCGUCUGACCUACUGUUCGACCCUCCUCCCUUCUCUAAGUUAAUUGUUUUGAGCGGGGCAAGAAUAGGCCCGGCCGGUACAAUCGGUGCCGGAUUGUUUUCUGGUAAGCAAGUUUGGCGAAGAUCGAAAGGCCUGCUGCCACCAACUUGGCUAACCAGCAUUUCGAGCAGUUUGGUUUGCCGAUCAUUGGCACUGAGUAUCGCGUCCUGCAGCUUGUCAAUGCCUCGACUGAACGUCUGCUCGACUGACCGAGACUGCUCGUCCAGUCGCUUUCUGAGGAAUGACCUCGUUGGUGGGUCUGUUCCUUCACCACCAUCCUCAUCACAUUCCUCUAUUAUCCCUUCAUUGAGAACGCAUGUGUUUCUGUUUGGGAUCUCUAAACCACGGAGUUGACCGCCGAGAUUAAGUUCUCUCUCUCGGCGAGUUGCGCUCGUGGACUCAGGUGUCCCAACGCUAAGGGGAUUCUGCGCCUGUGGCACACUCUGUCCUAUGUUCUGACUCGGUAAAUCGGCUGUCGACUUUCCCAUAGCUGUUUUUUUUUUUACCGAUCGUGUUUCAAUUGGCAUGAACUUCGUAGUUUAGCACUGGGUCCCACCGGGCGUGCCAAAAUGUUGACCCUAGAAAUUACAAAGCCUACGUGGCGCGCAGGCCGAAUAUAUUCUAAGCUAACUACGUCCUUCGGUGAUUGCGGGGCGUGCCAACUCGUCGGCCGAGGCUCGGCCGAGGAGUAAAUUUGAUGAUGCUGCGUUGGGUCGCGCUACUGACUUCUGCGUCUUGCGAUUGCGGCCGAGAAAGGAACGCGUCUCGGCCUCUUGGGUUCUCGAGCCUGAAGACAAGGCUGCUAUUUCUUACAAAGUUCACGAACCGAAUUCGGCUUACAAUGUGCCGAAUGUAAUAACUGUAACACCUCACCUCGCCGAGAAGGCUAAUGAGAUGACCUCGACCAACAAGGAUUCGAAAACCCUUCUCGACCGAGACUUGGAUAGGCAAUCGACCGUUCUCGCCGCAGUGCUGUUGAUGCCAACGGAAGAUACUGCGAGACCGACCGACUCUACGGUGACAGAGCUAUCUAUGCCGACUUAAGAUAUCACCGGUUGCUUCCACAGUGCUGUUGAUGCCAACGGAAGAUGUGUCAGCGAAAAAAGAAAAGAAAAAGAUCUCAAGUUGUGAGAGUUUGCGCAGGGCAAUUUUGUAUUGAUGUUUGUGGGGCUUCUUCCAUUGCUGAAUGUCUUGUAUUUAUAGAAGCAGAACACCGAGCCCGAGUUCUAAUCCUAUUCGAACUAGGUUUCCUUCUCCGGAUUAAUGUUACCUCAAUCAGUCCUACCUCUGCUAGGACUACGAAUCUAGUCCUUAACUGAGCCGGAUUCGCCUUCUAGUUUUACCGAUCUCGUCGAGGGUCCCUAUUGUAUUAGGACUCGACUUGCACUCUGAUUUAACCGAUCUAGGCCUAGAAGCCCAUGAGCUGAAGCCCCCAUGACUUUCUCGCCGUAGUCUUCCCGGGCCGAAAGUGAUACCUCCCUCGGCCCAAACUGCUAUUUUGGGCCCAAACAGUAACACAAGGCAAAUCUUAAAUGAAGGGUGUCACUGUCAUUGGUUAUUACUUAAAAGAAAAAAAAAACUGUGCGGCUGCAAUUGGGAGCUUGUGGAGUGAAUAGUUUCGGAAAGUGAAAAUCGAAAGGUGAUCUGUGAAGUCUUUGAAGUGAUUUUUAUUGACCAAUUUGUCUAGAAUGGAGAUAAAAACCAUGGAUGGCUUUGCCUUGCAUGCAUUGAAGAAUUCUUUUCUCUUUCAGUUUCAUAGACUCCGUUAAUUGGAGUAUUGUCAUGUUUUAGGGCUUCAUUGGUGUUUUUAGUACUUUUUACUAGAUUGAUUCAUAUUCUAAAUUCACAUCAAAUAAAUAUCUGAACUCAUGGCAUCAGUUUCCCAAGUGUUUUCUUAUACAGUGAAACUUGAAAAAAAUUCUGUAUGAUGAAGUCAAAUGAAGCACUUACCUGAUGAUUUGUUAUGCAAGACAUUAUAAGCUUUACUUCUUGGCAUGGUCAUGCAAACCAAUCUAGAACCAAUGUCUUGUUAAUAAUUUUGGUUUCGGAGAAUGUCUCACUUGAUUACUUCAUUCUUGUAAAAGUCACUGUGGAAUUGAAGACUCAAUAUUAGGAGCGGAGAAUAAGAUUAUGAGGUUGUUUUUAAUAGUUUCCUAUGCACCAGUUCUUGUUGAUGCUGAGAACUCGUUCGAAAGUGAUUGAUGCUGGUUUAUGUAUGUAAAGCAGAUACAUUUAAAGAGGGAUGAUAAGAACUGUAUGAUUCAUGUGAGAAAAGUGAAGUUAAUGUAUCAAAUUAAUGAGCAUCUGUCAUAUUGCAUCUCAACUCAAUUUAGAAACCAAUAAAGUGUGAUCUAUUUUUGAAAUGGUUUGAUUUUGGAAAUUUAGAUCUCUGUCCUUUGCCCUCAUCACAUUAUAUUUAUUAGAAUAACUUCUACAGUUUUCAUUUUUUAUUUUGUCUUUGGUUCUCUUUUGGAUUAGGUCCCUCGUCUAAUUAUCUGUCUGCCAAUUUUAUGGUUUCUUGUACGUUUGUUUGAAAAUGCUGCUCAUACCCUUACAUGUUGAAGUAUUUUUCUUUUCUGUAACUUUUUUUACUUCAACUUGUCUGAAAGUUUGAACCUUUCAAAUGUUUGGUCUUGGCUGAAUGUAAGAUUCUACAAGCCAGUAUGCUUUUUCACUUACAUUUGGUGAUUUCUUUGUUUCUAUAUGAACCAUCCAUAUAUACAAAGUGACUUUUUACGUUGUGUCUGGUUUUGAUUUUUUUUUUUUUUGACAGUUUGCAUGUGUCUUUUGAUGAAAUAAGUUAGUUGCAAAAUGGUCAGGUUGGUUACUGUUUAUGUAAAUUAUCUUAUCUAAAUUUGCAUUUUCUUGGGUGCCAGAAAAACAUGUGGAAUGCAUGGGUAACAACUUCAGAGCUCCGACAUUCUGUCACACUCAAAAAGAUCAAGUUACUCUUGUUGAGGCAAAAAUUGAAGUUAACUUCUAUCCUCAGAGGACAAGUAAGUUUCAGAGAUUAAUUAUCUUGAUAGCGCUUACUUUCUGCUCCAAUCUAACAUAUGUCAUUGACUGGCAUCCGCAAUGUAAUAGUACAUAAUAUGGUGCUGGUGGCAUAUUUUUUUCUAAUGCUAAACUCAUUUCUCUAAUAGAUUCAUGUUUCUGAGAUGUAACUAAGUUUUCUGCUGGCUGGCCUUCAAUCAACCAAAACCUGUCUUCCACUUUGUUGUCUCCUUGUUAGAACUUUUCCCCCUUCUGGAUUAGUGCCACUCUCUUUCUUUCGUUAAUCUGUGCGGAUGUCCAAAAAGCACUAUCAAGACAGUGUUGAUAAGAUUGCCUAUAAUAAAUCCUUACUAACUUGUACCUUGAUUAGUGCAAGUUCAAUGCUUUGUAUUUAGGCAUCCAAUAAAAGGAAUAAUUUUGAAAAGAAUCAUCCGCCAAGUCCAAGUUUCUUUUUCCUACUACAUGAAGUAGCUGUUUGGUUAGAGCUAACUUGGUGUUUAUAUGGAACCUUUUUGUAUGUGUUAGCUUCCAGAUUUCUGAUAACCAAGCAGGAGGAUCAAAAUUUCUAAAAAAUGCUCUUAUUUUUAUAAUUUUAUAAUCAUAAUAGUAUUCCUAAGGAUGUAUGCUCAUUGUAAUGGGAAUGAGUUAUUCUUUAUUGACAUUGGUGAUGGUAGAGGGUGUUAUCUUAUUUUUUUUUUGUUACUCAAGACCUUUUAUUGUAAAACGCCUGUUGAUGAACUUUACUUCUGGCUAGCUUAGGGUCAAUUAGGUCUCUCAUAUAAGAGGAGCUUAUUUCCGGUAAAAACAGAGGUGUUUAGGAGUUGGGGCAUACUAUAGAAGAGGGAAAGUUAUUAGUGAAAUAAUAUGUUUUCUGUCAAGACAGUGUGCUACAUCUUCAAAAAUCUUUUGUAGGAAGACAUGCAAAUAUCGUCUGCAAAGGCAAUGUGAAAUAUCAGAAAGAAGGGAGACUAGACUGUUUUGGGAUAACAAGGGCUUGCAUAAUUACUAACAUUAACCUUGGUUGAGGUCCCAUUAGCCUCAAUUGAUUGCCAUUAAAUGAUGCUUAUAUGCUCUAGACCUUGCAUUCUUGCCAGAGCUACAGAGUUUGAAAUGUCAAUCUCAAAUCUGGUCCAUCGAAUGCAGAAGGACAAAAAUAACUCAACCCACUACUGUCAAUGUAGGUGCUGAUGAAGGAGCAUCCGAAGUUCCUCAGGGAUGUUCCCUGUGGGCGCGUGUCUGCAUGUAUAAUAGUUAUUGUCUUUCCAAAUAAAGCUUAUCUACCUGAGUUUGUAUGUUAUCAUGAAAUACUAUUUCUUUUGUACCAAAUUAUUUUCUUGUUAAUAUUACAACUGAAUACACUUGGUAAACCUAUGAUAGCUAUAUAUUAUAGUCACACCAUGAUUUUGCGAGUGUUUUAUUAAAUACAUACAGCCUCUUUUUUUUUAAGGCAUCUACUGUUUUUUUUGUUAUUUAUCCUGUCCUUGAUAAUGAAUGAAGUUUUGUUGUGGUUGGUGAAUGUAGAUUAGUUGUUUGGAAGAAUGGGGUCUUCUGGAAAAAGAUCACUCUAGUUCUUUGCUAGGAGCAACUGAAGCUUUGCAGGCCAGUACUCUCCGUCUUCCAGUUGUGGGAAAAGCAAUAGUAUGUGGCUUCUUUUUACCCUUAAUUUAAUCAAGGGCACAUCAAGGGACUAAAGGAGCCAUUACUGUUCAAAAGACUGACAAUGCUCAUUUUAUGCUAGGUUGACUUUCAAAAUCUGAAAGAAGCUGUGGGUUCAGCAGCUGAUGUGAUGCAGACAAUGGUAUCCUCGAUAUGCUAUCUUUCGUCAAAGGUAAUCUAUUUGUCUCUCUUGAAUCUUACUUUCCUUGGUUGAUGUCACUGUUCAUGUAAAACAUUUCACAAAAACAUAACAUUAACAUCCUGGUCCUAAAGUAGGUUCAUUUGCUUAUAAGUUCUAAGUUUAGAAGUAAAAUGGUGAUUAAUAAGUCACUGUUUCUGAACAUUAGCCCAGGUUAUAACCAAGUUUUGCAUUUUGGUGAAACAAAAUGGUAUUGAGGUAUAAUAUCCUUUUAGAUAAAGGGGUAAUUUGAUUGAGGUCACUAAAUUUUCUCAACAUUAGGAUUGAGUCGAUCAACAUUUUGUGCUUUUUAGGUCAAUGAAGAAAGUUUAGCAAGUGGUAUUGCCUUUUGUUGGAGAAGAAAUUUUUUUUUAGUACCUUAGUUGAAGAGGAAAAUUGUUUCAGUUGACCUAUGCUAGAAAAUGAAGUGACCAGACCUAUGCCGAAAUAUUAGUUGAAGAGGAAAAUUGUUGCAGUUGACCUAUGCUAGAAAAUGAAAUGACCAUUGACCUAUGCCGAAAUAUGAAAUUAUUAUUGACCUAAACCAAAUUUCUUAUUAAAUAAAGCCAUUAAAAGUCUCUCUUCUCCAUUGCAACACCUAGGUCAUUUAUGUUGUUUUUUAGAUUACAAAACGUAGGCAAUUGGAUUGAGCUACAACAGUCGCUUCCUGAUCUGAUAGCAAGUUAUUGGCGUCCACACCCCCAGCCGGAUCACUCUUGUUUUUUGACAGCAUGUGAGGUUUGAUUCUGGCAUGUCACCUAGCCUCUAUGCAUGUUGUCGAUUGAUUCCUGGUAGAUAGAUGUGUCUAUGUAACCUCUUUAUGAAUAGCUUAACAAUCUGCAAAGAAGUCGAAACUGUUUUAAGGAAGUUUCUGAAGCACUUUCCCUUUUACAGGUGGAGGAAAUGAAUUCCUUGUUGUGUGAACUUAUGAAGGUUACUGCAACAGAACGGGUUGUGCUUGAACAAUGCAAAGAUUUUUUGUCCACAUUAUCCGCCAUGCAGGUAAUCUGCCCAUAGUUUUCAUUUUGGUUCUCCUUCCAAUCUCUCACAUUUAUCCACCCGGUUUUUGAAUUGCUUUCUUAUCCAAUGUAACAGGUCAAGGAUUGUAGCUUGAGAACACAUAUAAUACAAUUGCAACGUGUACCAACUAUCCGAAGCCUGACAACACGCGUGUAGAACUGAUCUUAUUUGACUACUCACUCCUAAUGCUAACACAUUACACGAACCUUUCCUUUUCCACCGGGUGGAGGCAGCAGAGGUAAUAAGGAUCGAUCAAGUAGCUAGUUUUGGCUUCCGACAUUGGCAUUUGGCAUUUUUGGAACCUGUUUGUGGUCUUCUGCGUCAAGUAUCUCGUCUCAUGUGUCUUUGUAUCUGAAGAAUAUAGAAAAGGGUUUUUUUUCCUCUCACUAAUUAGCUGUAUACAAGCACUCUUUUCUUUCCUUUGGGCCAAAAGGAAAUGUAUGUGUGUAUAUAUGUAAUGUUCUGCUAAUUACACUUAAGUAGUUUGUGGUAAUUCUUCCUUCUACCCUCUCUACGUGCCUCUUAUUUUGCUCGUUUAUUCGUUAUUUUGCCAAUGCCAUCAUUAUAUGUCGCGCGUAUGAGUUGAUCUUAAUUAUUCAUGUUUGUGAGAUCAAGUAAGAAUGAUUGUGAUUAACUUAAACGAUCAUACGCGACUGAUCCUAUCAUUCCUCUUUAUGACUCUAUUAAUUAAGCAAAUGCACCAACUGACCUCGUCGUAUCCCAGGGCUCGAGAUCACCCACAUGCUAACCACCGUGCUCACAAAGCUUCCAAUGGGAGGAUAGGAGUCAUCUGGGAAGAAGACGUUUGUCUUAGUUUGACUAUUCGGGUCAACGACAGCCCACGUUAAAGUUCCAGCACACGCGGAUGUGAUCAUGUGACGGCCACCAUUAACACCCAAUUGCCUCAUUAGCUAUUUUGGACUCCUAGCCCUUCUCCUACAAAAGACAAACUGAAACUGUCGGUUUUAAAACCUCGUAUAAGGGGUGCAAUUUGGAUAAGAAAAUACUGUUUCCAACCGACUAUGAGCUGAAAAGUUUUAAAAUAUUUCGUCCGAUUCAAUUUCGAAAUCAAAAUAUUGAAAUUCAAAACACUCAUAAAAGCAUUUGAUAGAAUUGUAAUGAAUUUGCACAUUUCGAAUCCGAUCUAAAAAAUUCGAGACUUGCUUAACUGCCUCACAUACACUUAAUUAGGUACUUAUUAGCUUUGAAUAUGUUUCGUUUGUUAUUUGUUAUACAACAUGCUCAAAUAUGAUUAUAUUUUUUUCAUUACAAAUAUAUUAAAUUUGGUUCUUGUUCUAACUUCUAUUCUAUUGCAUUUUAGGUUUAACUAUAUUUUACGCUCUAGUGUUUUGGAUUAUUUUCAUAAUUGAUAUUUGAAAAUCAGAGUAUCAAACGGACAAACAAA
rnacentral:lncRNA from 1 species